GCAGGUACUGUGUGUAGAGGUUGCGGAUGUGGCAUGUACGGAGGCGAAGGCGCACGUACGAGGCUCGUGCGAGCGGUGCUACGUGCAUGCGAGGGGACGUUUGCUGCGGUGCUGGUUGGGGCUGAUGCUAGGGUUUCCUCUUCUAUUGUAAUCGGGUCUGGGCUAGGUUGAUUUGGGCUUGUUAUAUUGGGUUUAGUUUGUUUAUCGGGCCUUUGUAUUAUUUUGGUAACUGAUCUGGGCCAAUUUGUAAAUGGACCUUUUCGCACUGAAUUUAAUAUUUUUCCUUUUUUGUUUUGAUUUUUUUUAUUUUUUUAAUGGGCCCCGGGCAAAUUGGGCCUGUUACAGCUGCUCCUCUUUGCUCAUUGUCGUGUAACAGGAAUAGAGCAAAGACUAAAAAGAACCAAUUUUUCCUGGUUGUGCUUGGACUUUGGUGCUCCUCUUUUUCGAGUUGCCUCAUUACAUCCUACUGUAUCUGCAGAGGUAUUGGAAUUGGUACUUCGAUUCACUCCACUGCAACGUCGGGGAGAUAGGAUUACUAGCUUCAAUCUUUUCGGUAUUCCCUUGCUGGUCAAGGAAAUAGGACUUGUGGCUUAAAUCUGUUUCCCUACUCCUGGGGAAGAUGAGAUUCGCCGUUUUCGAUCUGCUCCGCUACUGAUUAGGGAGGUAAGAUCUGCAAUCUCCAACCUAUUCCACUGCUGGUCAGGGACAUAAGACGUGUGGCUUAAACCUAUUUCCUUACUCUUGGGGAAGAUAAGAUUCACCGUCUUCGAUCUGCUCCGCUACUGUUUAGGGAGGCAAAAUCUGCAAUUUCCAACCUAUUCCACUGCUGUUCAGGGACAUAGGACUUGUGGCUUAAAUCUGUUUCCCUACUCCUGGGGAGAAUAAGAUUCGUCGCUUAGAUUUGUUUCCUUACUCCUGGGGAAAAUAAGAUUCUCCACUUAGAUCUAUUUCCCUAGUUCUGGGGAAGAUAAGAUUCGCCGCUUAGAUCUGUUUCCCUACUCCUGGGGAAGAUAAGAUUCGCCGCUUAGAUCUGUUUCCCUACUCAUUGGGAAGAUAAGAUUCACCGCUUAGAUCUGUUUCCCUACUCUUGGGGAAGAUAAGAUCCGCAAUAUUCACUGAUAUGUUCUCUAGGGAACAUAACAUGUGUAAUGAACCUAUUUAUGCCUAAUAGUUAGGAUGGCAUGAUCAGAAUAAAUCUAAUGCUCCUAACUAGACAUGAGUGAAUGGUAUUUUCCUGAAUGCAAUAUGUUGUCGUAUUAGUCAAAAUCUUAUUUAAGGCUUUUAUCAUAACCGCGCUUUAACACCCUCCUUCCUGGUUGGUGCCCUCAACAAAAAAUUUAAUUAAAUUGCCCCCGCUGUAAGCCUUCAAGCUCAAUUCAUUGGGUUGUGUUCAAUAUGCAACUCAAAAAAAUGGGGAGCUCUGGUCCUUUCUUCAUAUUCUAUCACAAUUGAAGGAUACUGAACGUGUAAACCUUUGGUAAACCACUCUCAGGAUGUCAUGCUUAGCACAAAGAAUUUUCCUCCAAGGAGAUCUCUCUUUUCUAACUCAUGACUAUUGCUGACAUUUCAUUCAAUUGACGCUUCCGUCAAUGAAGUCCGAAGGGACUGUUUAAAAUCAUAUUUUUUCUUAGAUUUCUGCCCUUUAAAUUUGGUUCAUUCUAAACAAUAGUCCUGUUUCAGAUUAUUGUAUUAUUUAGAAAAUUUUAGAGUAAUGUGCAAAACUUACUUUGUGAAAGUUCGGUAGUCCAUUAAUCAUUAUUCCAAUGCAACAUUUUACUGAAAGAUUAUGACUAUGGAUAAAUGUUGGUUCUAAGCAUAGCUCGAAAGAAAUAAAAUAUCAACAAUAGGGAGAGAAGAAUAACAAAUAAGUUGAUUGAGAAUGUGUAUAAUGAUAAAAUGUAUUAACACAUUCAAUACAAUAAGAACUAGGUGCCCAAGUUAUCGCAGUUUGAAUUUCUCUGUACAAACUUCCGAAGGCUAUUCUAAGUUUAGCAUGUGUUUAGGAGAUCUGCAGUACUCUGUCGAUGCUCCAAGAUAUCGUAUGCCCUUUCUUGUUGGUUCAGGUAUAGCAAGAUUAUCGUGUGCCCUGAUCAAAAUUUGAACAGUUCCAAUCUUCUCAUGCCCUUCUCUGACCAAUAUUUGAGCCGCCCUUUCUCAGCUUUUCGACUCAAAUCCCCUUUGAUCUCAAUGCGUCCUUUGCGGGUUUUCACAUUGGCCUCUCCAAAAUUUUUUUUUUAGGAAGCAAAUGCCCUUUGCGGGUUUUAACUUUGGUCCCCUUCUUUCAAGUGAAGUAUUUUUUUACAGAAUCUGCGUUUACGGGGUUUGGCAAACUUUUACCAUCCAUCUCACUUAGGAUCAAAGCUCCACCAGAAAAGGUCUUCUUUACAACAUAAGUACCCUCCCAAUUUGGCAUCCAUUUUCCUCUAAAGUCCUUUUGCAUAGGAAGGAUCUUUUUUAGCACCAAAUCUCCUUCGCGAAAUUCUCUAGGGCGAACCUUUUUGUCGUAGGCUCGCAUCAUUCGUUUCUGGUACAAUUGCCCAUGGUGAAUGGCUCUCAACCUCUUCUCCUCUAUUAGGUUCAACUGAUCAUAGCGAGAUUGGACCCACUCGGCUUCGUCCAACUGGAGUUCAGAUAAUACCCGUAGAGAGGGGAUCUCAAAUUCAAUGGGUAGUACUGCCUCCAUUCCAUAAACUAGAGAAAAAGGUGUUGCCCCGGUAGAAGUUCUAACAGAUGUUCGAUAGGCUGGGAGAGCAAAUGAUAACUUCUCAUGCCAAUCUUUGUAAGUCUCAGUUAUUUUCCCCACAAUUCUUUUAAUAUUCUUAUUGGCCGCCUUUACUGCACCAUUCAUUUUUUGACGAUACGGCGAUGAGUUAUGAUGCUUGAUCUUAAAUUGGUUACAAACCUCAUCUAUUGUGUUAUUGUUCAAAUUCAGCGCAUUGUCGGAUAUGAUUCUCUCAGGCAUUCCAUAUCGACAAAUGAUCUCCUUUUUCAAGAAUUUGCAGACUGCUGACUUCUUGACAUUUUCGUAUGAAGCAGCUUCUACCCACUUGGUGAAGUAAUCAAUGACUACAAAGAUAAAACGAUGCCCAUUAGAAGCCUUUGGUGAUAUUGGCCCAAUGACAUCCAUACCCCACAUGGAAAACGGCCAUUGAGAGGUCAUAACAUGAAGUGGCAAAAGGGGUGCAUGCAUCCUGUCUCCAUAAAUCUGACAUUUAUGGCAUUUCUUGGCGUAAUUAAUGUAAUCCCCUUCCAUAGUGGACCAAUAGUAUCCAAAUCUCAUGAUCUGUCUGGCCAUGGUGAAACCAUUGGCGUGCGUCCCACAGAUACCCUCAUGGACCUCCUCCAAAAUUUUUUUAGCUUCCACGGCAUCCACACAUCUUAACAGUAUAGCACUUCCCUGUCUAAGACAUAUUCGACAGCUAUUCUCCUCAGAGUUCUCUUGUCGUUCUCUGUUGCUCGACUAGGGUACUCCCGAUUCUUUACAUACUGUAGAAUACUCUGAUACCAAGGGUGAUCGUCUUUUCCUUGCUCCUCAAUAUUAUAACAAUGAGCUGGGGUUUCAUAGAUACUCAUCUGAAUAGGCCUUAUUACUUCAAGCCUGUUCACCAGAAUCAUCGAAGCUAACGUAGCCAAUGCAUCAGCCAUUUGAUUUUCCUCUCGUGGGAGAUAACUGAAGGUGAUAUCGUCAAACUCGUCAACCAACUCGAGGACCAGCAUUCUAUAACUGAUUAACUUAGGGUCUCCAGUUUCCCUUUCCCCUUUAAGUUAGUAUAUCACCAAUACGGAAUCCCUAUAUACUCUUAGCACUUUGAUGUUCCGCUCGAUGGUUGCGCGAAUGCCCAUAAUACACGCUUCAUAUUCUACCAUAUUAUUUGUGCAAUCAAAGUCUAACUUACUAGCCACAGGGUAAUGAUCUCCACUCGGGGAUACCAGGACUGCCCCAAUUCCAUUACCUAUAGCAUUCGAAGCUCCGUCGAAAUUUCACCUCCACUCAUGAUCCAUCUGAGGAUUUUCUUCAGUGCUUGCUACGCACAUCAAGUCCUCGUUUGGAAAAUCGAAGUUUAAGGGCUCAUAAUCCUCCAAGGCUUUACUUGCCAGGAAAUCAGCUAUUGCACUCCCUUUUAUGACCUUCUGACUUACAUAUACUAUGUCAAACUCAGAGAGCAGGAUCUGCCAUCUAGCCAUUCUCCCAUUUAAGGUAGUUGAUUCCAUCAUAUAUUUUAAAGGAUCCAACCUUGAAAUCAACCAAGUCGUAUGAUACUACAUAUACUGCCUUAGUCUUCGUGUCGCCCAGAUUAAAGCACAACACAAUUUCUCGAUUGACGAAUAUCUCAAUUCACAGCCAGUGAAUUUCUUGCUGAGAUAAUAUAUUGCCCUUUCUCUCUUUCCCGUUUCAUCGUGUUGGCCCAAUACACAUCUCAUGGAAUUCUCGAACACCGUUAGAUACAAUAUUAAUGGCCUAUCCGAACUUGGCGGUGAUAAUACGGGAGUAUUGGUCAAAUAUUACUUUAUCUCGUCGAAAGCUUGCUGACAUUCCUCAUCCCAAUCACCCGGAUUAUGCUUAUUUAAAAAACGGAAUACUGGAUCACAUUUCUCCGUCAAUUAUCCAAUGAAUCGAGUAAUGUAAUUCAGUCUUCCUAGGAUACUUCAGACUUCUUUUUGAGUGCGCAGAGGAGGCAGGUUUCGGAUUGCCUUUACUUCGUUCGGGUCCACCUCAAUCCCCCUCUUACUAACAAUAAAGCCUAAUAACCUCUCUGAUCUGGCUCCAAAUGUGCAUUUUGCAGGGUUAAGUUUGAGCUGAAAUUUCCUCAAUCUCAAAAAUAAUCUUUUCAAGACUUGAACAUGCUCCUCUUCAGUUUUAGAUUUGGCAAUCAUAUCAUCAACAUAGACUUCGACCUCCUUAUGCAUCAUGUCAUGAAACAAGGUCACAAUAGCCCUUUGAUAUGUUGCUCCCGCAUUCUUCAAUCCAAAUGGCAUUACUUUGUAACAAAAUAUUAUUUUUCUUAUAUCCUCAGGGUGCAUCUUUAUUUGAUUGUAUCCAGAAAAGCCGUCCAUGAAAGAGAAUAGUGAGUAUCCCGCCGUAUUUUCUACCAAAGUAUCAAUGUGAGGCAACGGAAAAUUAUCCUUUGGACUAGUCUUAUUCAAAUCCUUGUAAUCCACGCACAUCCGUACCUUUCCAUCUUUCUUGGGAACAGGGACGAUGUUAGUACCCAAUCUGAAUAUUUGAUCUCUUGUAAGAACCUAGCAUUGAACUGCCUUUUGACCUCUUCUUUUAUUUUUAGCUCAACAUCAGGUCUCAUCCUCCUUAACUUCUGCUAAAUCGGUUUACAAUCUUCUUUUAUGGGUAGACGAUGUACCACGAUGCUAGUACUUAACCCGAGCAUAUCUUGGUAUGACCAUGCAAAAACAUCUUUGAAUUCUCGGAGUAAUUCAGUGAGGUCUUGCUUUGUCUUUGCGGCGAUUUCAAUUCUAAUUUUUACCUCAUUUCCCUCCUCUCGGCUCAAAAUUUCUAAUGAUUCCCUAUAAGGUAGGAUUUGCUCAUCCUCUUGUUCUACCAUUCUCGACAAGUCUGGAGAUAUACCACAGUCUUCGUCAUUUUCAAAGUCGUGAGAUUCCUCUAAACACAUGUCUUGCUCAAAAAGAAGCUCCAUGUUUGAAACAGCGUCAUUCAUGUCGUUGAUAUCUGAGGACCUAUAAGGGCAUAUCAAAGAAUAUACCAAAAAUAUAUAAAUUUAUGAAUGAUUAUUUAUACAAUAAGGUUACAAAUGAAAGAAUUAUUUGCAGGACAAUCAAUUAGAAAGUGCUUAUUUGUAUAAAAGAAAAAGAAUAAUUGCUCGAAAUGAAUGUAAAGAUGUAUUUCAUUAGAAUAACGAUGUUCAGGCUCAAGCCUUUUUCACAAAAGAUUUCCUGUCAUUUUCAGGCUUAAACAACAAGAAUGUUCUGAGUAUUACUCUGAAUAAGCCCUAAAGACUACAGGGAUUUCUUCCGCAGUCCAGUUGUUUAGCUCGCUUCCAGUUUCGUAAGGACAGAUCUCUAACGAGGCUUUUUUCUCAGAUGUUUCUAUAGCAUUGAUAUGAACAUUUUCUAACAUCUCUCCAAUGUCUUUGCUUUUGGGCACCCCACGUUCAGGAUGAAUAAAUCCACCCAAUACAAAAGAUGUACAUAUGUGGGGAAAGGACAUAGGCUCCCACUUAACCUCUUUUCCGCUUAAACGUGUCCUUCUUCUCUCUUGUCUUUUUUCUACCUCUUUCUUCUUCUGCUUCAUGUCUGGCUUGUAUCCUAACCCAUAACUGUCAAACUUUUCCUUCAGUAUCGGUGCUUCAAUCUUUCCUUGAAGAUACUUUCCCAAUCCUUUUCCGGGUGAAGCCCCUCUUCCAAAAAUCAAUUGCAGCCCCAUCUCUGUGCUCCUGGGUAUUUUCGGUACUGGAUUUCUGCUUCCUUCAGCAAUAAACAUCGCGUUCACAAAUUCUAAUGACUGAAAAGAGCAUUCCACUGCCUCAUCAUCAAUCUCCACAUAAGGUGCUUCGCCAGUUAUUGUUGCGAUGAUAUCUUCCUCUGUACUUAUUGUUAUCACCCGACCCUCUGAUACUAUCUUCACCUUCUGAUGUAGCGAUGAAGGUACUGCCCCAGCUGAGUGUAUCCAUGGCCUUCCCAAUAAACAGUUGUAGGAAGGCUUAAUAUCCAUCACCAAGAAGUCCACAUCAUAAGUAAUUAGGUCAAUCCUUAACGGUACCUCAAUUCUACCCAUAACCUUCUUUUCAGUUCCAUCAAAUGCCCUUACUAUACUCUGGCUCGCUUUCAUGUGGGAAUUGUCCACGUGUAACCAAAUAAGAGUAGAUAAAGGCAAUACGUUUAGUGCAGAUCCGUUAUCAAUCAGGAUCUCCAAGAGUAUGUACCCUUUGCAUCGGGCAGUGACGUGCAGGGCUUUAGUGGAACCCCUUCCUCUAGAUGGUAUUUCGUCAUCACUAAAGAAGAUAAAAUUGUCAGCAUUUAUAUUGUUGACCAACCGAUCCAGCUUGUUCACCGAAAUAUCAUCCGCCACAUAUAUUUCAUUUAGUACUUUCAAUAGUGCAUUUCGAUAUGCUUCUGAACUUAAGAGCAAAGCUAAUAUAGAAAUGCGGGCUGGCUGUUUGCGUAGCUGUUCCACAACGCUAUAUUCGCUGUGUUUCAAAAAAUUCAGAAAUUCUUUUGCCUCAUCCUCUUUUACUGGUUCAUUAACCAAUGACUCAACUUCCACGGUUUUCUCUUUCUUCUGCUCUCUUUUCUAAUUCUCUUCUCUUGACGGUUCUGCCUGUGCGUCAUAUCGCUUCCCAUUACGUGUGUAAGAACCUAUUUCCUGAUUUCUUUCUGCUUCUUUUCUCAAGAUUGUCACGUUACAUCCAUAAUUCCAUGGUACCAUUUUGUCAUCCUUGUAUGGGAAAUUUGAUGGUUUCUGGAUUAUAAUUUUUGGUGUUGUACGGACACUAGACCCAUCGCUCCGAGGGCGUGAAAUGAUGACCACAGGAUGAUUCAUUUCCGUGGUCUUCGCUGCCAACUCUGAUGCGUAAACAUUUCAUUUACCCUCUGCUUCUUCAUAAAAUCUCAUCUCUUUGUUGUCCAUCAUGCUCUGGACCAAAGCCCUGAAUCCCUCACACUCUUGAAUUUCAUGUCCUGCCUCAUGGUGGAAUUCACAAUAGUUUUCAUCUUCACAUCUUUCUUCAUAAUUUGAAAUAACUAGCCCUCUCAUCGCCAUUUGUCUCCAAACCCACUUCAACGGAGUUUUUACUUCAGUGAUGUCAUUCUUGACCUCUUCUCCCCUACUUUCGCUCAUCAAAUUCACUCCCUUAUCAGUAUGAUUGGGUAGCGAAUUUUCUGCAUUAGGUGAGUCAUCAAACUUAACAACACCCAUGCUAAUAAACUUUUCGACUAGCUUCUUGAAAGCAGUGCAGUUUUUUAUUGAGUGCCCUGUAAUUCCGGCAUGGUAAUCACAUUGGGCGCUCGCAUCGUACCACUUAGGAUACGGGGGUUGCAAAGCGGUCAAGUAAUGGGGAGAAACUACGUGUGUGUUAAACAAAUUCUGAUAUAGCUCUUUGUAUGACAUCGGAAUUGGUGUGAACUGGGGCUUCUCAGUACCCUGCCUCACACCAGAUUCUUGUCUCGUUGAACCCUGUUGACCCGCAAUCACCUUUCUCGGCUGGUUCACCAUAAUUGACUUGUUGUAUGCAUUUAUAUUGCUCACUUCAUUUUCUUUUCUUCUCGAGGCUGACCUUUUAUUGCUUUUUCCUGCUUCUAUUUUCCCGUUUCUUAUGGCAUUCUCAAUCAUUUUACCAUUCAUUACUAUAUCUGAGAAACUUUUGGUUGCACUUCCUAGCAUGUGCAUAAUGAACGGGGCUCUUAAGGUAUUGAUAAAGAGUAUUGUGGCCUCUCAUUCUAAGAGCGGUAGUUGGACUUGGAUGGCAAUUUCCCUCCAUCUUUAUGCGUACUGUCUGAAACUCUCACUUGGUUUCUUCUCCAUGUUUUGUAGUGUAAUUCUAUCGGGGGUCAUAUCCGUUACAUGGCUGUACUGCUUCAUGAAUGCCUGUGCUAGGUCCCUCUAUGAACCAAUCUUGGUACAACUCAAUUGAUUGUACCAUUUAGACGCUGCCCCUACUAAAAUGUCUUAAAAACAGUGGAUUAACAGCUGAUCGUUAUUGACGUAGCCAGUCAUCCUUCUACAGAACAUAGUGAUGUGGGCCUCGGGGCAACUAGUUCCAUUAUAUUUCUCAAAUUCAGGCAUCUUGAAUUUAGGAGGUAGUACCAAAUCUGGGACCAAGCUUAGAUCUUUGGCGUCGAUUCCCUGAUUACUAUCAGCGCUCUCCAAGGCUUUGAACUUUUCUUCCAACCACCUAUACCUAUCCUCCCAUUGUUUUGGUAAUUCUGCGCUUGCUUUUCCUUCUUCAGCUGUUUCAUCAAAAUUCGGAAUAGUGGGAUUGAUUAGGUUUUCUCCCAGGUUUAAACUCGAUUGUCCUUGAAAAUUUGUGGCACCAGUUUGUAAUUGUUGCGGCCUAAUUGUGACGGACGGUCCUCUUUGGUACACUUCAGUUUGGGUUCAUGCAUUUGGUGGCGUGAAACCCGGAGGAUACAAUGGAUCCUCGCUACCCUCUCCAUGAUCGGCCAUAGGGCCCUUUCCUUUAUCUACUCCUCCCGUCAAUAGAUGGGUCAAUUCAGCCAUAGCAUCCUUUUGAGAUUUAAUCAACUUUUCUAUCAUGUCUUCUUGAAUUUUAUCCAAUCGCUCUUGCAUUUAUGCUUGUAAUCGUUCUUGCAUAUCCCACUACAUUUAUUCCAGUUUCUCUAGUCUUUGGUCCAUUUCUUUAGUUUUUUGUCGAGUACCGUAUUGAUGCUUAAUGGGUGAGCUUUUGUUGGUUUCCAGGUUAAUUGUAAUAAUUUAACCAAUUAGGGUCUUUUGGUGGACUUUAAUACAUAUGAUGCAAUGUGAUGCAAUGCAUGAAUGCAAAAAGGUGUCGAUUCUGAUUUAAUUUCAUUUAGAAAGCUUCAUUUGGAUAACAGCAUUCUUUACAUAAAAUAGAUUACAUAUACAAUUUUGCCCUGAUGCUCAGAAUUUUAAUCUUUUUAAGCAGCGAAGCAAGCUCUCUUCCCCGGUCUGAUUUCAGCUCGUACUUUACGCUCAAAGUAUCAGCUUAUAUUGCUAGGGUCUACAAGUAAUCGGCUACCUCCCGAAUCUGGGUCACAGCUUCUCCCAUGACAUGAUCUCUGUCUCUAACUUGGCUUUGAUAAUAAUAGAGCUGUUCUUUCUGACGUUCUUCAUUUUCUUUAAAAAAUGCAAUCCGCGUAUCACAAUCUUGUAGCCUCGCAUCUAACUCUUCCACUCUUUUCUUUGUUUCUUCAAUCUUGUUCAAGCUCGCUCUUAAUUCCAUCGCGGUAUUACGAUUUCGGUAAUGAUGAAGAGACAUUUCAAGUUCAGCUAUUCGUGCCUUUAAUUCAUCUGUCACACCCGGCUUUCUAACAGAAUCCUCUCCAGGGUCUGGUUUUGUAUUUGAGUCUCUUGCCAUUUCUUUUCCCAUCCAUCAGCCUUGUCUCUUUCUUCUUGGAUUUCUAGUCGCCAUUACUCUGAAGUCUUUCCCAGCCCCGCGGUUUUCAUUGAUACCCGUAACUUUUUGUAGUCUGUCUUUAAGCUAUCCAGAUCCUCUUCUACUUUAUUAUUCCCUUUCUUUAAUUUUUCGGCCUCUAACUUUUGGAUGUCCACGUCUAGUCUCAAAUGCAUCUUCUCUUCUUCCAACCGCUCUAUUUUUUUUUGAGUUAUGAAUUCCUCUUUUCGAAAUCUUGUUUUAUAAUCUCCAACUCUGAUGGGACUACUUGUAGGUACUCUUCCAUUGGUCGAACACCCUCCAAGUUUAACUCUGGAAUGUUAUCAUUAAUUCUCUUAUUUCGCCAUUCACUGUAUUCUAGAGUUGUCAUUGAACCCACAGCUAACCUUUUCAUCCUAUGAACCUGAUUCCAAGCCUGAAAAAUUUCUUUCACCCUUCUCUUGUAAUUGUCUCCCCAGUACGAGAACUCACAUUAAGCUAAACCUUGCGUUGUCGGCACAAACUGUCUUGAAUUAUAUUGCCUUAGGACCAACAAAGGUGCAUACCCAACGACUCCCUAAAUCUCUAGCAACGGGACCCAGUCAAAGCUUCCACAACGGUAAAGAAUUUCAUUAGGAAUCAACCAGGGAGCUCUCCAUUCCACAUCAUCAUCUUGAAGAUUUUGCAGGAUUGCUGUCCAAUUUUCUUCUGAUAUGUCGUCCCUUCUUGGCGUAGCCACUAUCUCUUUUAACGGGGAGUAAUGCCCAGAGAAAAUUCGAUACGAAACUUUGUCGACCUUCUAGAAAUGACUACGGAACCAGGCUAACAAUAAUUGCACACAACCUAUGAAUCUGCCUUCCCCAGCUCGCCUACACGCAUUCAGAGAUCUAAACGUUUCAGCUAAAAUCGCAGGAACAGGCGUGACCCCUUUACUCAACCGAUCAAAGAGAUAUGAAACCGCCUCGCCAACAUGCCCCAGCGCUCUAGGGAAGAUCACUAACCCGUAGAUACUCAAAGCAAACACGUCGACCUUCUUUUUCCCAUCCGGAUGCGCUAUAAUCAAGUCCCACAAAUUUUUCCAUGGAAUACAUUUACACUCCCCUUUCUGCUUGAUCCUGGUCGUAAUCCACUGCUCGCUCAUGCCAGUAAUAUUCAUCAGCUUCUUCCAAAAUGUCGGGACGUACGCGGCUCUAGAAUAUGCUUUAUCUACCUGAAGCCUGGGACAAUGUAGUAAAGCUGUAUAUUCCUCUACUGUAGGCACCAGAUCUACUUUGCCAAAAGUGAAACAACUAUAUGCAGGAUUCCAAUAUUGAGCAAGAGCCCGAAACAAUCGCUCAUCUACCCUGACAUCAAGCAAAUACGGCAAAUCUCCAUAAUUGGAAUAGAACAACUGCUUGGUCUCAUCAUUCCACUUAUCCCAUAUUUCUGUCAACUCCUGAAGGCUAUUUUGCGUCACGCUAAUACGAGUGUUGUCCCACAGCUCUGACACAUAAUCUUUAGCUAGACUGUCUCCCUUUUCCAAUUGCACAUUCUCUGACUAUAUACGGACCAUGGCAUUGUCUUCCACCUUAUCAAGAAAGUCGUUCUCCAUGACAAACUUUCUAAUUUUAACAACCGAACUUGAAUCGACACUCUUUUGAAUAUGAAAUGACAUGCAAACAUAUCAAUAAAACACCAUAAGUCAGUAUAACAUAUCAAUAAAAUUGGCAACAAAAUUAAGAGAAACAAGCAUUUACAUGAGCAAUCCUUAGAGUUUGGGGAAUUAUACCUAAGCUGGAUUCCUAGGCUAUCUAUAUGCGGUUUGGUUCUAAAUUCGAGGUACCCGAACCAGCAGAUUCCUCAGUCUUCACCUAUUAUAGACUCAUACAGACCAAGUUCGGUUCAGGGGAAUAUAUUUCCCUAUGGCUGCACGGAGAUGAAAAUCUCACGAAGACAUAGGUACGGAUGUACUCCGAAAGUGAUCCACUAUCCUGCACGGAGGUGAAAACCUCACGAAGGAGUAGCUUCUCACUCCCACUUAAAAAGGGUAAGACUAAAUAGUCUUUAUGCAAUAUGAUGACAAGUUAUAAAACACAAUAAUCAUACAAACAUAUGCAAAGAAAAUAUCAUAAAAUUAAAUAUUUAAAAUUUGACAAUAAGACAAAAACAAUCAAUUUUACGGCCUGACUCUCUUGGUGUCCCCAGCGGAGUCGCCAAGCUGUCGAAACCAUUUUUAAAUUUUGAAAAAACGGAUAUCGACCUUUUUUAAAAAGAAAACUCUGGGACUCGCCACCGAUCUUUUAUUAAGGUGUGAUCGGUUCACCAUUUAAAAUAAAUUUUAGGUCUGCGAAAUUUUAAGAAAACAGGUUCGGGGGUCAGUUACGUACUAGGAAGGGCUAGCACCCUCGUGAUGCCCAAAAUUGGUACCGAAUUGAUUAUUUAAUGCCUUAGUGUCGAGAAUUUGAAAAGAUUUUAAAAUACGAUCUUUGAAGUUUAAAUUUGCGUAAAACAAAAAUGAAUAAUAAGAUGGACUCAUUUUGGAGUAAUAAAUUGCUACACUCAGUGAGUUAGGGUGCAACAAUUCGAUCUUUUAGAAUUAAAUGUAUACCCGUUUUAAGAAAAUCUUGAAUUCGCAGAAGGGUAUUUGAUGAUUUAAAUCGAUCGAGAAAUCCGAACCCAAUAAGUUAGGGAUCAAUUUCCCGAAUUUUUUAAACAUCAAACAUUACCUCCACAUUUAAAAAAAACUUUAAUUCAAGGUAGCAAAGCUGUCAGAUCCAGUGAGUUAGGGUCCAGGCUUCGAAAUCUCGAAAAAAUUAUUUGAAAACUAUGAUUUUAUUUUAAAGGCGUUAUUUACCUAAAUUCGACGAAAAAAAAUAAAGCCCAGUAAGUUAGGGCACAAUUUUCUCGAAAAUCAUCGGAUGUAGGGUAUUCUGAAAACUUAAAAAAAAUUAUUUUAAUACAUUAGUAAAAUGUAGUCUCUUAACAAUAUAACAUGGUUAGAUGUUUUCAUAAAACGCGAAAGGGAAAUUCAAAGACAAAAUAUACAUUAAUGAACGAUAAGCAACCAAUGAACUAACAUGAACGAGCAUGACAAUAAUAGUUUCAAACAUACAUCACAUAAAUAUUAACAUUAGUUAACAAGAGGAGGUUAAUUAAAAUUAAAGCAAAAUCACAUAACUCAAAUGAAACAUAUAAGCUUGAACCUAAUUUAGGGAAUGAAUAAACUAGAGAGUUGAAACAAACUUGAAUAACUUAACAUGUAAAAAAAUGAUUGUUUAAAAAUGUUUGAGGAAAAUAAAAUCUAUUUGAUAGUAUGAAAUUACUAUGGGUUAUAUACGUACGUAGGUAUACAUAUAUAUGAUGAAAAUAAUCAUAGAAUAAGUAAAUAUAUUAUUAUUACAAUAAGGUAUUAUUUGAAAGUGUAUGUUUAUAAAUCUAAAAUAUAAUGAAUGAAUUUACAUAAAAAACCUAAAAUGAAAUAAAUUUAUGAAAUAUUAAUAAUAAAAGUAAUAUGUCAUAAGAAAUGGCUAAUACAUAUAGAUCUUUUUUUUUUUAAAGAAAACUAAAGGAUGCAUGUAAAAUAAAAAUAAAUUAAUGCGUAUAUACGAAAGCAAAUAAGUAUGAAAUAUAACAUCAAACAUAAUGAUGAUAAAUGCAUAUAGUAUAAUACUACUACUAAUAAUAAUAAAUAGAAGAAUAAUAAAAAGGGGUAAAUCACAAUCAAAAUCAAAUCAUCAGGAAAUAAAUGAAAUAUGAAUAAAACGGAGGACCCUACUGCAGUGUGCGAAUUAUAUGGGGGCCGAUUGGGAAAUAUCCCACUUCCCCAAAACGCAACACUUCAUAGUAGGUUAAAAUGGAACGAAAACAAAAUGUGUGGGUUAAAUCAGAGAAGGAAAAGGGACUUGAUUCAAAAGAAAACAGAAAAGGGGAGGGCUGGCCGCGCAAAUAUCCCUCCCUACACCAGAAUGCGCGGGUCAAGCUACGCCUGGGUCAGGUCAUCGGGUCGAGAGCAGGCCAUCUGGCAAUACAAUGCCGUUUUGGGAGCCACUGUUCAGGCCCCAAACGGCACCAUUUAAACCCCCUUAAAAUAGAGAAAUAAAGAAACCCUAAUGGGUUAUUCAGCUACCCUAAAGAAUAACGAAAAAGAAAGAAAACAAGCUUCUCCUCUCUCUUUUUUUUACGCCGUUCUCGGGCUAAACCAUCCACGGGUCCUCCGGUACCUCGACUCCGACGAGAACGACUAUGGGAUCACUGAGGUAAGUAUUCACUCCUUCUUAACUUGUUUUCAUUAUUUGUUAAAAGAAAGUAAAAAAGAACGAAAUCGAGAAAGAAAACAAUAAAAGUGCCGGAUCUACCUUUAAAGAAAACGAGUUUAGAGAAAAGUUCCCUUUUGUAUUCAAUAUUUGUAUGCUUUUUUUGUAUAUUCGAUCGUCCCCCUUUUUUACAAUGUUCUUUGGUCUUUUUAUAGUGUCUAUUUACAAUAAAAAGAAAAUAAAAUUCGAAAUAAAAAUCCACCAAUCGCCCUCGCUCUGCCUUUUUAUUUUUUUCUGUGCCCCUUUUUCGUUUUGUGGUCUGUUUUCUGCUGUGGUUGCUCGUCUUUGGCAGGUACUGUGUGUAGAGGUUGCGGAUGUGGCAUGUACGGAGGCGAAGGCGUGCGUACGAGGCUCGUGUGAGCUGUGCUACGUACGUGCGAGGGGACGUCUGUUGCGGCGCUGGUUGGGGCUGAUGCUAGGGUUUCCUCUUCUAUUGUAAUCGGGUCUGGGCUAGGUUGAUUUGGGCUUGUUAUAUUGGGUUUAGUUUGUAUUUCGGGCCUUUGUAUUAUUUUGGUAACUGAUCUGGGCCAAUUUGUAAAUGGACCUUUUCGAACUGAAUUUAAUAUUUUUCCUUUUUUGUUUUGAUUUUUUUGGUUUUUUUGAAUGGGCCCCGGGCAAAUUGGGCCUGUUACAACACUAUCCCUCGGACUUCUCGUAUAUGAAAUAAGCUAACUUUUGGUAUAAUGGCAUGUAUAUGCUAAAAUAGGCCAAAUGAUGAUGUAUUUUGGUUAUAACUAGCCAUUGGAAUGGCUAGUGUUAAACAUAUUUUGAUGUAAUUAUAUAAGGCCUUAACAAGUUUGAUGUGUGGUGAAAUGAUGAUAUGAUAGGAAGUAUACAAACCUAUUGGUGAAUGGUUUUGAUUUCAUAAUUGAUAAAGUAUGCCUAUAAGCAUAAAUGUGUUCUUGGUAAGUUUAAACACUUGAAUAUAUGAGAUAAUAUGUCAUGCAUAAAUCUUGGUAUUGGCAAUGAUUUGAGGGUUAUGAAUUGGCUUGUGAAUGUGUUUGAAUGAUGUUGUAGGUGGAAGGCAAAUGGGGUGAGAAUAGAAAUGGCCUAUUUUUUGUCCACACGAGCAAAGACACGGGCGUGUGUCUCAGUCGUGUGUGACACACGGCUAUGCACACGGGCGUGUGGUUUGGCCGUGUGUUCCCUGCACCUAAUUUUAAAAAAUUAAAUUGUCCACACGGCCUAGCACACGGGUGUGUGGCUGGCCGUGAGACCCAAGUUAGAGAGUUACACGGGUAUGGACACGGGCUGGGACACGAGUGUGUGCCACACAUCGAAUGCCCACACGGCCUGGCCACACGGACGUGUGUCAUCUGCACCUAAGAAAAAUUUUGAAAUUUCGCAAAAAAUUCUCUGAGUUUUCGGUUUAGUACUGACUUGUUUUUAACGCGUAUUUUGGUCAUCGAGGGUCCAUUUAAGGGACAAUAUGGUUGAAUAUGAUUGAUAUUGGUUAUGAAUAGUAAAUGGCAUGAAUUAACUGCAUUUGUUCCGGUAAUGCUCUGUAACCUUGUUCUGGCGACAGACAUGGGUGAGGGGUGUUACAGGUUGGAAGUGUGCUUAUGGCACUGUUUGAAUGUGUUGUUGGUUUGAGCACGGAAAAGUACCAAAAAUGCAAUAUUUUUAACCUUUUGGCUACAAGUAUUGAUACCAGAGACUAAGGUAUUAAUACUUUACCAAAUUACCAUGAUUCAAAAUUGACAAAAUGCCAAUUUAGUAUCGAUACCAGUAUAUUGUAUCGAUACUUAUUCUUAAGGAUCGAUACUUUAUAAAGGUAUUGAUACAAGUUGACUUGUGUUCAAAUUUUGAAAAUGGUAGAAUGCUAAAAUGGUAUCAAUACUAAAUUUGGUAUUGAUACUUCUUAACAGGGGUAUCGGUACCUUAUCCCAAGUAUCGAUACAUAUCGCUAAAUUUUGGAAAAGUUUUUAGUUUGGUCCUUCUUCAUGCUCGAGUCAACUUAAGAGCUUCCAGAAGCUCGAUUGAGUCUUGGAAUUGAUUGUAAAACAUGUUGUGCAUGUAAUUUUAUUAUAAAUUGAUGCGUAAUUGAAUUAAUUGCUAUGACUCAUGUGUGAUUUGUUUUGGUAUCUAUAGUAGCAUCUUAUAGAUCAGGUCCGACAGUUGGGCCGGGUGAGGCGUGUUACAGUCAGUCACAUCUAUAUCUCUAUCUUUUGUGAGUCAUUCGUUUCGAUGCCUAAGAUAAAACAUCUCCCCAAUUGGACUUGAUAGGCGACAUAUUAGUCUUUCAAUUGGUUUGCUCAUUUCCUAUUAGACUAAGAACAUGUUUAAGUUUGUCUACUAAUAUAAGUUGUCUUUUCGUAUUACGAUAUGACCACGUAAUACCGUAUAGUAUAAGCUAAACAUCAGACAACUGGUGAGCUAAUAUUUGCUUCUAUUUUGCUUUACAUGCAAAAACCACGUGAGGACAAUAUACAAAGGGUAUUAAUAUAAUUCAUGAAUAAUUUUAUUAAUCAAUUUAUUUGAAAAAACUAUAAGUGUACAAACGAAUAUACUACACUUAGGGCACCGGAUCUAACAGUUAGAGAGGGCGAUAGUGGUGAUAUACAAACGAUUUAAGGGAUCUUCAAAGACAGAAGGCUAAAAAGAGUUGUUGGAGGCUACUAUUUUUCUUUUUGGGUUUUCCAUUUUUACUUAGUUUUGUGAUUAGAUUAAGGGUUUCUUUUUUUUUUCAUAUUUAAGGAUUGGUUUGGAUUGAUUUUUAAGGGUUCCAGUAAGAGUUGGUUUGGGCUAUGUUUUUCUUCUGAUUUAGGCCAUAUUUUGGGAUAAAAAUACAAAAAAUUGGUUUUUUUCGAUUUCUAGUGAUUUGUGGUUUUCAGAGGUUCAAAUCAGUUUGCUCCUAAAGCGGUUUAAAUACUUUGUCCAAACCAGUAAUCCGGCCGAUUUGAUUUAGACAACCAUGCCUAUGCCUUUAACUUUCUUCGAAGGCAUAUGAGAACCCCUUCCCUUUAUGUAUUGCCAUCGUCUUCAUUCUCAUUCACACUAGGGUUUUUUUUCCUUUCUCAAUAGAUUAUUUCCUUCCUAUAAUAGCGACCACCAUCCAUUAUUUGUAGAUUUUUAUUUCUCGUGUCCUUAAUACAAGCCUAAAAAUUCUUAAACAAAAUAUUUAAAUAACUAUAUGCAUAACAAAUAUUUGAUAAUCUCUCAUAUUUAAAAGACACACCUAGUCAUUUAAAGUUGAAUCCCCUUGGAAAUGGAUCCUCCACCUUGAUCGUUGCAUUGAUAUUCAUAACAUCAAACCAAUAAAAUUCUUCAUUGCCCUCACUUGCUUUAAAAUCAAUAAUUGCAAUUUUGAAAAUCAAUCACCAAUUUGAAGUAAGCUUUCUUUUGUACUUUGAUAAAUUAGAAUGUUGUGAAUCUGAAUCGAAAACCUAGUCACGAAAUUCUCGAUUUCCUUAUUCUCUAGGUAUUUAUGAUACUUGUGAAUUUGAAAAAUCAUUACUUUAUGAUACAUGUAAAUGUGAACAUAUCGGUGUACUUAUAUCAAGGUCCAUUGAUGUUUUAGGGCUGCUAAAUAGUGAGUGAAAGAUAAAUUGUUUAUUGCAUGUGAUUGGUUAGUGUCCUUUACCUUAUAUGACUGUCUCUAAGCUCAUUGGUGAUCCCACCCUCUGACUUACGACUUGUACUGUUGUCAAGUUGAGAAUUGCUUUGCUGCUUGUGUGUGGUGUGCCAAUAGACUAUUUUGCAAGGUUUGGCGUUUACUAAUUUGUUUGGUUUAGAUCAUAUUAUUUUCUUCCACAAUCUUAUUUCCUUACUGUAGUGUAACAUACUUUAAAGUCAAUUAUUUAUGCUUGACCUCCCUUUAAGAUAAAAAUCUAAAUGUUGAAUCUCACUUGAUUAUGCUUAAUUAAACUAGUUUAUUUAGUAAAAAAACAAGAUUGGUUGUUAUACUUUAUAGGCAUAAUGAUAAAUUUAGCCUUCAAUAUUCACAUCUUUUGUCAAUUUGACCCUUAUUUUUUGAGCUAAAUUUGGACAUUAACCUUUCAAAAAUAGUCAAUUUACUUUUUCUUAACGAAAAUGUUGACUAAAGCAUCAAUUUUUCAAUGAUGUUAGUGUGGUAAUUUGUGUGUAGUCCACCUAUACUUCAUGCUAACUUGGUGUUAUUUUUCUUAUAUGUCACGCCAACAAAUAUUUUAAAAAUUAUAAAAAAAUCAAAAAUCAAAUAAUAUAGAAAGUUUAUAAAAGUUCUAAAAUAAACAAAACAUAAAGUACAAGCGGAUAACCAUAUUGGCUAUCAUGUUAAAAUUGAAUGUUUUAUUCAGUAUUUUCGUUAAAAAAAAACAAUGAAUCUACUAUUUUUAAAAGCUUGAUGGUCAAAUUUGGAUUUUUCUAAAAGGUUAAGAGUCAAAUUUAACUAAAAAAAUGAACAAAUUAAUAAAAUAUGUAAGCGCUAAAGACUGAAUAUGUAAUUAUGCUACCUUAAAUACAUUCAUUAAUACUCGGAGUUAAAGUUUCAAUUCGAAUGGAAGAAUCUUCAAAUUUACUUAAAAAUAAAACAAAAUCCAUUUAACUCACAAUUUACUUAAAUAAGGUAUUAAAAACUUGAAUGGGUAAAAGUACUACUGAGACCCAAUAUUAGGAGAUAAAUUGUAUUUUGCUCCCUUAAUUAAAAAAUGGGCAACCUGGUCCCUAUAAGUUAGAUCAAAGAAUAAACUAAUCAUUUCUGUUAAAAUUUCCAUCAAUUUCUACUGUUACAAAUUGUCAUAGCUGGUGAAAUAAAUAGUUACACGUGGUGUGCCAUGUGUACCUUAUGUUGACGUACAUGAGCCAAAUUGUAAUAGCAUAAAUGGAUGGACAUUUUAACAAAAGGACCCGUUUGCUUUUUUUAAUAUAAGGGACAACAUACAAUUCGACUCCUAAUAUAAGAGUCUCCACAAUACUUUUAUCAUUUAAAUGUAAUUUAUUCAAUAAUUCAAGCUACUUGUAGUCUAGCUUAAAUAAAAAAAAAGAUUGGUAUAUAUUAUCAAGGUGUUUAAAUUCAAGUUUCAAUUGAUGAACUACAAAGCCAAAUAUAAAUUAUUUACACUAUGUUUGGAUUGCAUUAAAAUUAGGAAAAGGAAAGAAAAGUAACAUUUUUCCCCUUGUUUAGGGAAAGUAAAGAGAGUUGAAUUUCCCUUACUUUAUCUUGAGUUAAUUAAUUUUUAAUUACUAAACCCUAAUUUGGGGAAAAAAGUUAAGAAUGAAAAGUUAAAUUAUUUUUAAGAUGGAAAAUUACAUUUUAUCCUAUUAAUAUUUUACAUGAUUUAAUUUACAAAAGGACAUAAUUAAAAAAAAUAAUUAUAAUUAAUCAUUUUUUUACUUUCUCCAAUUAUAGGGUUAAUCAAAAUUUAAUAAUUUACGAGUAUCUACAAGGUAUCAUUUAUAUAGUUUAGGGUUAAUGCAACUUUUUGGCUUGUAUAUUUUUUAUGGGUUUGGUAUUUGAAUUUAAUAAUUAUAGAAAAUGUAAAAGUUUAAGAAUGUGUUAUGUUUUUAAAUUUUAACAAAAUUCAAAUCUAUGGAUCAAAAUGUAAUUAGUUAUCAAAGUGAAAAAAAAAGACCAAAGUAGAUCUAGUGGGCAACUUCAGGGGGGAAAAUAUUAUAUAAACCCUAUUAACGUUUAUAGGUGAAGACGCAGUUGUAGAAAAUGAGAAAAAGGGGGGUGGUCCGCUUGAACAAAAGAGCAACAGAGUCUACGACUGCUAGUAUUAAAAAAAAGUCACCCUCCGUUAAUUUUUCUUCCUCCGGUCCUUUGAACCGUAAUGCCAACGCGUUCCAGCUGUUUAAUUUCAACGGUCCGACCCUUCGAACCGAAACAAAGUACAAAAAAAAAAGAAAAGAUACACUACUAUUUUUAAAUAAAUUUAAGGGGUAAUGACCUUGAACUUAAUAGGUAGGUUAACCUUGGUUUCUGAUUUUUUUUUAUCCAUUUUAACCCUUAAACUUGAAAAUUAUCAUUUAUUUAAGUCUAUUUUGAUAAUGAUCAUGAACAAAAAGGAUAAUGUAGCUUUUGACCCUUAAACUUGGCAAGUAGGUCUACAUUGGCCCUUGAACUUGACAACUAAGUUCACUUUGGAACUUAUACAUUUUUUUUUGUUUACUUUGGCACUUGAACUUGACAACUACAUCCAUUUUGAUUCUUGAACUUAAAAAUUCUAAAAGUUUGAUUAUAUGGCACUAUGAGUUUGAAAAAUAAAAAAGUUUUAGACAAUGAUGUGUGGUACAAUCUUAGAGUGUCAUAUUCAUUGUUUUAAUAAUCGAACCUAUGGUUAAACAGGUUAGACCACCAGUUCGGUCGAUUCGAUUGUCAAACCAACAAUAAUUAAAAGUUCACAAAAAUCUAAAAAAAUAAAAAAUAAAAAACCAAUUUUACUUGGUCCCACAGUCGAAUCGAUCGAACUGGUUGAAUCGAGAACUAGUGGUCUAACAUGUUCAACCAUCGGUUCGGUUAUUAAAACACUGAAUAUAUGACACUUUGAGAUUGUACCACAUUAUUAUCUAAAAUUUUUAUUUCUCAAGUGAUAACAUGACAAAUCUCAAAGUGUCACAUCAUCAAACUUUUAUAAUUUUCAAGUUCAUGGAUCAUAAUAGACCUAGUUGUCAAGUUUAAGGGCCAAAAUUACAUUAUCCCUUUUUUUUCAAGUCAUUAACCGACUGAGCUUAAAUGAAUAAUGAUUUUCAAGUUUAGGGAUCAAAGUAAAACAAGUUUAGGGGCCAAUAUGAACUUACUUACCAAAUUCAGGGGUCAAAAGUUAUAUUAUCCCUAAAUUUAAUUUUAAAGCAAGUAGUAUUACUAUUUUUCAAAAUAAAAUUAAGGAAAGAAAUGAUUGGGUGUAAAUGAUCUGUCAGUUGAGGCUUCUUUCUCAUUUCAUCUUCUCUGUCUAAUAUGUCUAACCCUUAAACGACUGUCGGUGGAGUGUUGAAGGAGCUGGUAUCGUAGUUUCUCUGUCGCUUUCGUCACAUAAAAAUUUCUCUUCGCUUACAGCUAUCAUUUAGUUAGGGAAUAAUAAAAUAAAUCUUUAAUUAUUUUGAUUUCUAUUAUAUUAUUUGUAGGCGGAGUGAUAAAAGGGUGUUAACUGCUGCUUUGAAUUCCUGCUCUCUUUCCUCCUACAUUGAUUCUUCAUUUCCAAGGUUUGCAUUGUAGAUCAGAUUUCCCUUUCUCUCGUUGCUUUCCGGCUAGAUCUGAUGUUGAUAUGCUCUCAUUUUUGCAAAGAGAUCGAAUCCAUUGUUUUCGUUUUCGUUUUCGAGUUCGAUUUGGCGUUUGACCGUUAAACUCCUUCAGUCCUUUUUUUUAAAAGGUCAUUUUGUUUUUAUCGAUGAUAUUUUCGUGGCUUAUUCACGGAUUUGUUUCAACUUUUUGAAAUAUUAUUCAUCAGAUCUUUUGCUCUAAAAUUUAUAACUGGAGUGUUUAGUUCUUCCUAUUUUGUCCGUCUUAUUUUGCAUCGAAAUUUCUGAUUGUGUUUUUUUGACGAAUGCGUUGACUUAAAGCUCGUAGUUUUAUGUUCGUUUAAGAUGUUUGGAUUUGGACAUGUCAAUUGCUUUCGUCGGUGCUUUGCUAUUUGUCGAUUCAGUUACUUAGAAUUAUUAAGGAAUCGACUUUAUUGACUCAAUCAAGUGGCAUUUUUGAGUGCAUUAGAAGAAUGAUUAUAUAGUCGAAUAUCUAACAAUAAGAUUUUUCUACUGUUUUUUAUUAAAAUUUCUUUUGUAGGGAAGUGCUUUGAGUCAUUUACAGUUCUAGCUAGAGAAUGAUAAACUGGUUCCCGUUAUUUGUUUUUUCAGAUUUGUGCAAAAAACGUACUCUUGAAGUGGAGGAUUCAUUGUGAUUUUCUGUCGUGAAAUAAAGGCAUGCACACAUCUUGUUGAAUUUGGACAGCUAUUUGUAUCCAUUGUUCCCAACUGACAAAAGAAGCAGGUGACAAUGGAAUCAGGAGAUAUUGGGGUAUGUAUUGGAAGAAAUAUUCACAGUUCUCUCUGAUUUUCAGUUUGCUUUAUUGAUUAGAAAAUUGAUGAUAACAGAAAAUUAAGCCACAUAUUGAUGAUAACAGAAAAUUGAUGAUAACAUAAAAUUAAGCCACAUAGUAGAAGAGGAGUUCGAGUGUACUUUGUUUGCAAAUGAUUUACUCACUUUCUUAUGAAAUUGCUACCUAGUUAUCACUGCUCUCAAUGAUUUCUCUGCACUUGGAUAUGUGUUCUUACUUAUAGUUGGCCAUAUCUGCUAGAUGUUUAUACUUUGAUUACUGGAGGUUUCAUUUUUUUGCCGAAUAUUUGACUUGUUACUCUUUGAUUGAUCAGGGCAAGCCCAUGAAGAAUCUUGGUGGCCAGGUGUGCCAAAUCUGUGGUGAUAAUGUUGGAAAAAAUGCGGAUGGUGAUCCAUUCAUUGCUUGCGGUGUAUGUGCAUUUCCUGUCUGCCGCCCUUGCUAUGAAUAUGAAAGGAAGGAUGGGAAUCAGUCAUGCCCUCAAUGUAAAACCAGAUACAAGAGGCACAAAGGUAGUUUUGAGAAUUUCUUUUUCACUAGAUAUUGACUUGGUUUUCUUAACUUCCACACAUACACACUCAAUAUUACAUUUGUGUGAUUCUUUGUUGUUUGCACGAGUUGCAUAUAACACCAAGUAUUAAACAGAUUUUUUCAUUACGUUAUUCUCUUACCUUUCAAUGUAAAUUUUCAAUUAUAUUAAUCACUAAUUUUUUUCAUUGUCUCUAUGAUUCCAGGUAGUCCUGCUAUCCUUGGAGAUAGAGAAGAGGAUGGUGAUGCUGAUGAUGGUGCUAGUGAUUUCAAUUACUCUUCAGAAAACAAAAACCAAAAUCAGAAGCAGAAAAUUUCAGAAAGAAUGUUGAGCUGGCAUGCAACAUAUGGUAGAGGGGAGGACGUUGGUGCUCCAAAUUAUGAUAAAGAGGUUUCUCAUAACCAUAUUCCCCUGCUCACGAAUGGGCAGGAGGUAAGUCUAUAAGCUUUCUUGGAGCUAUUGUUUGCAAUUGUUUCAUGAGUGGAAUGAUAGAUUGGAACUUUGCUUUUCCUACUGACAUAUUGUAGGUUUCUGGCGAGUUAUCUGCUGCAUCACCUGAGCGGCUUUCUAUGGCAUCUCCUGGACUUGGUGGAAAAUGUAUGAAUCCUCUUUGUUUUAUGGCUGGCAUUAAUUAAUUGCACAAAAUGAAAUCUAUCAUUCCAUUUAUAGGUUCUUAUGGCUAAUUGAUAUGAACAUUGAAAUUCCUUGCAGCAAAUAUUAGGGUUGUGGAUCCUGUGAGGGAGUUUGGAUCACCAGGAUUGGGCAAUGUAGCUUGGAAGGAGAGAGUUGAUGGCUGGAAGAUGAAGCAGGAGAAGAAUGUUGUUCCUAUGAGUACAGGCCAGGCUGCUUCUGAAAGGGGUGCUGGAGAUAUUGAUGCCAGCACUGAUGUGCUUGUGGACGACUCUUUACUGUGAGUUCCCAUCUGAUUCAUAUGUAGAACUUUUAUGAGGUUAUUUGUUCUUGUUUGCAUUAGUCCAUGGUAAGCUAAAAUAUUUUAAGAAUCAUGAUCAUACUGUGUUUCUAAAUCUUGCAAUGUAGAAUAAUUUUCUGAAUUUGGAGAACCUGGUUUUGCAACCAUUGAUAAAGUUCUUAUCUAACGGAGCUAAGUCCUGCUAGGAAUCUGUUUUGCCUAAGUUUAAUUAUCAAUACUCUUUCUUCCUAAUUUGCAGGAAUGAUGAAGCUCGGCAGCCUCUAUCAAGAAAGGUCUCCAUUCCCUCAUCGAAAAUAAACCCUUAUCGGAUGGUCAUCAUUCUUCGGCUCAUUAUUCUCUGCAUUUUCUUGCACUAUCGAAUAACAAACCCUGUUCCAAAUGCCUAUGCUCUGUGGUUGAUAUCUGUUAUAUGUGAGAUUUGGUUUGCAAUAUCAUGGAUACUGGAUCAGUUCCCUAAGUGGCUUCCUGUUAACCGAGAAACCUAUCUUGACAGGCUUGCCUUGAGGUAAAGACAUUUCUUCUUUCCAAUCUCAUGAAUCCUCGCUAAUAUAUUUUAAGCAGUUGUGUCAUUUAAGUCCUUGUGUUUUAGCCUUGCUUUUUUAUUUAAAUUCCUUGGCUGUAUAACAGAUAUGAUCGUGAAGGAGAACCAUCAGAAUUAGCUGCUGUUGAUAUUUUUGUGAGUACCGUCGACCCAUUAAAGGAGCCUCCACUUGUAACAGCCAACACUGUGCUAUCCAUUCUUGCAGUUGACUACCCAGUCGACAAGGUUUCCUGUUAUGUUUCUGAUGAUGGUGCUGCUAUGUUAACAUUUGAAGCACUGUCUGAGACAUCAGAGUUUGCUAGGAAGUGGGUACCUUUCUGCAAGAAGUAUAAUAUUGAGCCUCGGGCUCCAGAAUGGUAUUUUGCACAGAAGAUUGAUUACCUGAAAGAUAAAGUUCAAACAUCAUUUGUUAAGGAGCGCAGAGCUAUGAAGGUAAGGGUUAGCUUGGUCGAUACUUGGUUGUGGUAUUGCUCCGUAUUCAAAUUUUCAUCGUGCUCACUUCGUUGCUUCUAUUGCAGAGGGAGUAUGAAGAAUUUAAAGUCCGAGUUAAUGGGCUUGUUGCAAAGGCACAGAAAGUUCCUGAAGAAGGAUGGAUUAUGCAGGAUGGUACACCAUGGCCUGGUAAUAACACCAGAGACCAUCCAGGAAUGAUCCAGGUAGGACUUUUUAUUUGCUUUUUGCAGUCAUAGAUGCACUACUCAUUCAUCCGCUUUGGUCAAGAUAGCCUUUGUUUCUGGUUUUCUAGCUUAUAUGAAAUUCUCUACACUCAAUGGUCUGGAAAAACUCAACUUGUGGUUUUAUCUUUUUCGAUUCAAUCAUAGAUAAGGAAGUUAAUAUUAGCAGACACAUGAGAUGAGAGCAAAUUUGCUCGAGUUAUUCCAUUCCAUUUUUAUGCAUAUUGCAUGAUCAUCCUGUUCAUUUUUUUCAUUAUUUUGAACGAGGUUUAGUGGAUUAGCAGAGUUAUAAGUAGUUUGCACCCAUUAUUAAUGUCACUAAGGUUUUGUAAAACUUGUAGGUUUUCUUAGGCCAGAGUGGGGGCCUUGAUGCUGAGGGCAAUGAGCUGCCAAGGUUAGUUUAUGUUUCUCGUGAAAAGCGUCCAGGCUUCCAACACCACAAAAAAGCUGGUGCUAUGAAUGCACUUGUAAGUUGCUUUUUAAAAUCUCUCAUUAUUUUGUAAUACUCAUUUUCUAUCUUAUCUAACCUAGCUAUCAAUGAAUCUUUCUUUCAGGUUCGAGUGUCAGCAGUCCUUACUAAUGGACCUUUCUUAUUGAAUCUUGAUUGUGAUCACUACAUAAAUAAUAGCAAGGCUUUAAGGGAAGCUAUGUGUUUUCUGAUGGAUCCAAACCUUGGAAAGCAAGUUUGUUACGUUCAGUUUCCUCAAAGGUUUGAUGGUAUUGAUCGGAAUGAUCGAUAUGCCAACAGAAAUACUGUUUUCUUUGAUGUAAGCACCAUAUCUUUUACCUAGAAAAAUAGUUGCAUCUUGUAAAUGAUGUUAUUACUGAUGUAGAAUGACUGGUCUGUAUCAAUUUUCAUCAAACAUACCGGCUAUUGAAAUUCUUUUGAGACAUUGUCUAUUUUUUGUGCAAUUACAGAUAAACUUGAGGGGUCUUGAUGGCAUUCAAGGGCCGGUUUAUGUCGGUACGGGAUGUGUUUUCAAUAGAACAGCAUUGUAUGGAUAUGAACCUCCCCUUAAGCCCAAGCAUAGAAAAACAGGGAUACUAUCUUCAUUGUGCGGAGGUUCUCGUAAGAAGAGUUCAAAAUCAAGUAAAAAGGGAUCAGACAAGAAGAAAUCUGGCAAGCAUGUUGAUUCUACUGUACCAGUAUUCAAUCUAGAGGAUAUAGAAGAGGGUGUUGAAGGUAAAGUAUUUGGUUUAUUUCUUUUGAGCUUAGCGGUCAUUAUUACUUAAUUCCUUUUUGUCUAAUGAGGAAAUGUUCCUUCUAUGUCCUCCAUAUGGGCAAAUUUUUUUGAAAUCAGGGGCUGGGUUUGAUGAUGAAAAGUCAUUACUGAUGUCACAAAUGAGCCUGGAGAAACGAUUUGGUCAGUCUGCUGUUUUUGUUGCCUCUACACUUAUGGAAAAUGGUGGUGUCCCUCAGUCUGCUACCCCCGAAACACUUCUUAAGGAAGCAAUUCAUGUUAUCAGCUGUGGAUACGAGGACAAAACAGACUGGGGAAGUGAGGUAUUUUGCUCUCUGUUCUUCCCAUGUUUUUCACUGAACCCUGAAGGGUUUUAUUGCUCUGUCCUUAGAAUCAGUGACUCCAGUGCAUGAAAAUUGAUUCGUGAAUUUCAUGGCUAUCGAGUUUUUGGUAGUAAUGUACUGAAUUAUGUAAAACUGAUUCUUUUUGGGCUUUAGAAGAAAGGGAUUAUAGUAUAGUAUUCUAACCUAUAAAUUGCAUAAGGAAAACUGUUUGAAUUUUAAGAAACCCAUACCUGUUCCUGGGAAGUUGUACAAAUGGACUUAAGUUUUCUUUUCUCUUUUUUUGCCUGCAGAUUGGGUGGAUCUAUGGUUCUGUUACAGAAGAUAUUCUUACUGGAUUCAAAAUGCAUGCCCGUGGUUGGCGGUCAAUUUACUGCAUGCCAAAACGCCCAGCCUUUAAAGGUUCUGCUCCUAUCAAUCUUUCAGAUCGUCUGAACCAAGUGCUUCGAUGGGCUCUUGGUUCUGUGGAAAUUCUUUUCAGUAGGCAUUGCCCUAUCUGGUAUGGUUAUAGUGGUAGGCUCAAGUGGCUUGAACGGUUCGCAUAUGUUAACACAACCAUCUACCCGGUCACUGCUAUUCCUCUUCUCAUGUACUGUACACUGCCAGCAGUCUGUCUGCUCACUAACAAAUUCAUUAUUCCACAGGUUAGACUUCUCUAUAUUAUCCUUGUUUUAGUUGUAUAUAUGCACAUAUGCCCAACACUGUCUAAUGUAAACGUGUUACCAACCCUCUUUUAGUGGCCUAAAAUAAAUAAACUUAUUGUCUAUAUGGUAUUGCCAUUAUUUACUGAUUGAAUAGCUAUAACCUGUUUUGAGUCUCAAAACUGUUCAUAUCUAUAUGCUUUUGUGAAAUGUGUCACCUUGAAACAGACCUUAUUGGAACUCUCUCAUUUUACCCUACAGAAAAUGAAAUUAGUAGUACUUCUUAAACCCCUAUUGUUUUGUUCUAGGAGAGCUAGAGAUCACUGCGUUAUAUGCUUUAACUAUUUUGUUUGGUUUGCUGUGACUGCAGAUUAGUAACCUUGCGAGUAUAUGGUUCAUAUCCCUCUUUCUUUCCAUCUUUGCAACUGGUAUUUUAGAAAUGAGGUGGAGUGGUGUGGGAAUUGAUGAGUGGUGGAGAAAUGAACAGUUUUGGGUUAUUGGUGGUGUGUCGGCACAUCUUUUUGCUGUUUUCCAAGGGCUUCUCAAAGUUCUUGCUGGCAUUGACACUAACUUCACGGUCACUUCAAAAGCAUCAGAUGAAGAUGGGGAUUUCGCUGAACUUUACAUGUUCAAAUGGACAACCCUUCUCAUCCCACCAACCACUCUCCUCAUUAUAAACUUGGUGGGGGUUGUUGCAGGAAUAUCGUAUGCCAUCAAUAGUGGCUACCAAUCAUGGGGUCCCCUCUUUGGUAAGCUAUUCUUUGCCUUCUGGGUGAUCAUCCAUCUCUACCCCUUCUUGAAAGGUUUGAUGGGACGCCAAAACCGUACACCCACCAUUGUUGUUGUAUGGUCAAUUCUGCUUGCCUCUAUUUUCUCUUUGUUGUGGGUGCGGAUCGAUCCCUUCACAACCAGAGUUACCGGGCCAGAUGUAGAACAGUGUGGAAUAAACUGUUAAAGAGAGAACCUAUAAAGACUGAAGAUUUGUUUUGGUGUCACUAAGUUUCCAAUGCCAAAGGUUUGUUUAGUUGUAAUUUGUGUAUGUCAGUUCACAUCAUGUGCAGAAUAUACGGUUGUUGAUAUAUAUAUAUAUGUCAUCUUGUUUCUACUUUGAUGUAAUAUUUUGGAGUUGGGACAUAACUUAUCGAUAGUGCUUUCUCUCAAGAAAACACUACUUCGAAGUAGAUAUAUGUUUUGGAGUUUAAGAGCAAACACGAGUAUCAUUCUUUUCCAAAAUUUUGAGUGUAUUCUUGCUUUGAUUCUAGCAUUACUGACCUAACCUUGGUUAAAAACAAACACACACGUAAAAAAUAUAUAUUAUAGUAUAAUUUAAAUAUGCUAUCUGCUAGAAUAAACAAUUUUGGUCGCACUAAUCCUCUCAAUUGUUUUAUUAUUAAAAAUAUUUUAUACAAGACAAAACCAUCGGAGUUCAUUCAAGGUACAUUUGAGCUGAUUUUUGGACAGUUGUGUACGAUCAAAAAUUUUAAUUGAGUUUUGAGCUUUCAAUGUCAGUUUUUGUUUACGUGGAGUUAUUUGUGGAUAGCUUUGUUGGAAUUAUAUACUCUUUACGGUGACUUUGUAUUCUCAAAAACUUCGAAAAUGGUCAACUUUCAAAUCAAAUAAUUUUUACUCUUUGCUUUACAAGGAUUUUCUUCAUUAAUCUCAUUUAUUUUCUUUUCUUGUUUGUAGUUAUUGAGAUUGAUUAAAGAUAUAUUGUGUCCUUGUUUUGCUAUAAUUGUCAACUUGAGAGAAAAAGAACACCAGUUGUGUUUUCAUGGUUUUUCUGUGGUUCGGCCCAUCAAAAACCUUCUCCUUCCUCCAUGAAGGCCAGAAACUUCUUAGGGAGAGACAGGGAAAACAUCAGGAAAGGAAAGCAAGCAAAAGUGGCACAAAUAGAAGAGUGAAAAAACCCUAGAGAUGUUUUACAAAGUGAAAAAUAGUUUUGAGUUAAUUGAGUAAAUAGAUCGAGCUAAGUGCACAGUUUUGAUCAAAUCAAUGAUCAAAUUAAUCACCUAACAUAAGUUUUUAAUCUAUAUAAAUUAUAAUCAAAUUGAAAUAAAUCUAGAGAAUACGAUGAGACUCGAUCCUAAAUACUUAAAAGGCUUAAUACCUCAACUUGUCAAUAUAGCCAAAGUAUCAUUGGUGCUCUCAUUGUUUUUUAAAUCAUUCGUUGAUAGUUAAAAGUAGAGUUAUACCCUUCUUUUGAUAACUAAAAAAUUUAUAUCUCAAAUUAUUGAAACUUUUCAACCAGACUUUUAAGUCCGGUGAGUUUUUUCUUUUUAUUCAACGAAUUUUGAAUUUGAACUAAAAUUAUAUAAUGUUAUUGAUGAUUUGCGAUUUUUAAUUAGAUUGAAUGAUUUGUCAUUUUUAAUUGCAAGCAAGGCUCUUUCCUUACACUUGAGUUUGGAAAAGCAUUCUCCUAGGAACAGAUCUCCUUUUGAAAGGUCUAGACUAGCAGCUUGUUUGCUAAUGGUGUUAGUUUAGUGUUUGAUGGUAACAUCUUGCACAAACAUCUCCUCCCAAGAGGCAACUGAUGCCAAUGGACAGAUCUAGUUGGAGCUUUAUUCAUGUUGGCACUUAUGCAAAUAUAAUUCAUAAAGGAAUUAUAAUACCAAAUCAGGAUAUGCUAUGCUAGCAUCCACUGACAAAACACAAGAAGGUUUUAGACAAGCAUUUGGAAACUUGAAGUUGCUUUUAAAAUCAUUUUGUUCCUGUGGAAAAUCAUGAAUAAAGACAAUCUCUACAUUUAUCAAAUGGCCUGCGAGGCAUUGGUUUCAUACAUUCUCGUAUAGACUACCAUCUCCCUUGCAUCUUAAUUAUUUAGCAACUGCUUAUAUUGCAUGCAUGGAAGAAGGCAGAAUGGGUGUCCCGUCCACCUAAACUAUCACAUAGCCAUAACUUGCGAAUCUUGUUAUUUUAGGAAGGUGGUGAGCACUUAAUCGAUGAAUUCAGUUCAAUUAAAUAAAUAUUUUAAUUUGAAUAAUUUUAUUCAUUUUAAUUUGAUUUUUUUAAAAAAAAAUUCACUCCUUUUUCUUUCUCUUCAUUGAUUACUCGCUACUACAUAACGAAGGAGAAAAGAUCAAAGGGAUAAAGAUGAGAUUAGUAUCAGCUAAAAAAAAGAAAAAGAAAAGAGAAUCUCAACAUUUAUGGUUGCCUAAUUAUCAUAUUCUUGUCGAAAGUUAAUGACCAUCAAUAAUUAACUUCAAAUAUUGGAAUAGUUAAAAUUCUGAAGAAGCAAAAACAAACAUUUGUUGAAACAAAGAGUGGCAUCAGCUAUGCUGUACACUUUUUGCAUCAGAUUUUAUUUUUGCAUCUGCGCAAAACAUUAAAAACAACACCAUAUCAAAGAAGACGAUGGCAGCUACUAAUAUCCCUACUUUUUACCCUUACCAAAACAAACAAACAAACAACCACCAUGCAAAACACACGUACAAGUAAUAUCUAUAUCUAUAUCUGUAUGAAUAAUACAUAUUUUAUAUAUAGCUUCAUUAUAAAGCUGAAAAUUUUUAGUUCCCUAUCCUAUGCGAUGGGUCUACUUCUUAGGAAGCGCCAAGGUCCAGUUCCAGUCCCCAUCCUGCAUGUACAUAUUAAGAGACCACUUUCAAUCCAAAAAAGAAAAAAAAAUUGUUCUAAACUAUAAGAAGAAAGAUUUAAUUACCUCAAAACACCAGCAAAGCUGCGGAGAACCAUGUAAAUGGUUAAUGCAACCCAUAUCCCUAUAAAUCCAUUGCUUUUGGAGAGAAUGAACAAUGAUGCAAUGCUUGCUCCAGCUACAAAUACCUGAAUAAACCAACCAUCAAAGAUGUGAAAUUAAUGGUUCUUAUAUACAUAUAUAUAUAUAUACAACCUUAAUUUGUAUUGUAUUGUAUGUGUGAAAGACUUGGUUACCAUGGAGUAAGCUGUGUAUGCAAAGUCAGAUGCUCCGAAGUUGACACCGUCAAACACGAAAGCAAUUGAGUUGAUUGGCUGUGUAGCUGCUACAAACUGAUUCCAUAUACUUUUAAGUUAAUAUAUAUGUAUAUCUGAGGUUGUUGGUGGAUCGAUGCAUAUCAAGAAUUAAAAUUACCGGUACUCCUAUACUGAUAAGAUGAAGAACACUAGCAUCUUUCGAAAAGAUCCCUGACCCAAAGUAUAAACCAGCUCCAACCGCCACAGCAAGCCCCACACCAAGCACAAAACUCAUCUGCUAAAACUCAAACCUUGUUCAUUUUCUGCUAAGCUCCAUGUUUGAACUAAUACAUAGAUCUUCUUUUGUUUCUAACAUUACCUGCAAUACCCGAGAUGUUGCAGCUGUUACCUUCUUGUAGUCCUUCUCAGCAAAUGCACAAGCAAGAAUUGCCUAAAGAUGUUGAUAACGUUACAGAUAGGUUAAUUAAUCAACCAAUUAUAUGCAAUUUCAUUAAAAAAAGAUGGUGAAAGAUAUAUAUAUAUAUAUGUAUACCUGUCCAGCGACAGCUAAACCAUCAGCAAGAAGAGAUGAUGUCAUCCAGACCUGUAAGCAGAUUUGAAAUGCGGCCAUAGGUGUUGAACCAAGCCGAGCAGCCAUUGAUGCUGCUAAUGUCACACAGAAUGUGACUGCUAUCACUCUUGCUAAUAAAAGAAAACCUGUGGCCAAAUAUGCAUCAAAAAUAUUGUUAGAUCAUAUGGUCAAAGGGAUUAAUUUGUUUCAUCAAAGAAAGCCCCCUACCAUUUUUAAGAAAUCUUCCAAAUUGUAGGUCUUUCAUAUUUGGGGGUAAGAGAUUAACUUGUUUCAUCAAUCGCCAUAAGAGGAUGAGUGAAAUCAAAUACCUGCAGUGAUCAUUAGCCAUUAGAGAUGGUAUAAGAUAUUGGGAAGUGAGAGCCAAGACAAAUUGACUUACUGAGAAAGGACAUGUGCUAUGGCUGCACCACUGACACCUAGUUUUAAGACAAAGAUAAAUAUAGGGUCCAAAAUGAUAUUUGUCAGGUCUCCUGCAACUGUUGCAUAUAAAGGUGUUUUUGUAUCCUUAAAUCCUCGGAAAACCCCUUGCAUGGCUAAGGAUAGAAGAACUGCAGGAGCGCCUAAUGACCUCAAAGUCAAGUACUUUAGUGCUGGGUUUAGCAUAGGGGAAUCCUGGUCAAGAAAAAUUGGGUUUUUCUUAGUUCCCUUUUCAAGCAUUAAAAUGGAGAGCUUACAGGUGCUGGCAGGCAGGCACUUACAGGUUUCACACCCAUCACACGAAGGAGAGCUUUUGCUCCAAAAACAAGGCAUAUAGCUUGAAGGAGACCAAGCAUUAAACCCAGAAUCAAUGCUGUUGACACUGACGGGAUAUGUCUUUUUCCCUUUUUCACUUGAGCAUUUUGAGCUUUGCUAUCAACUACAGGCGGAUCCUUACUUGUGUUGGAAGAACCUGACGAAUAAAUCACCAGCCAAAAUGUCUUAUUAGAAGAGCAUACCAGAAGCUGCAUGCUCCAAUGUAAUCUCAAAUUAUAUCUAUGUUUUAACAUAUCGGGGAGAGAGAGAGAGAGAGAGAGAGAGAGAGAGAGAGAGAGAGAGAGAGAGAGAGUUAUAUAUGUACCAUCCUCUGUCUCUUUUGUAUCAGUGUUUGUAGCUGCAGCACCUGGACCGUUUUCCAAGUUGGCUGCCACUACAUCUUCUGGCCUCAUCAAUUCUUUCAUUUCAUUGUUUUUGGGUUCAUUCUUUUCCAAAUCUUCAGAUUUUACGGCUUCAGGGCUAAUCUUUGCAAGUGUAUCUUCUUCAGCUACAAAAGAAGUUGUCAUGCUAACCAGCGGGAAAAUAGUAAUCCUUGAUGCUUGAUUGAAUAUAGCAAUGGAAACUCCUACAGCAGCUAGCUCCACCGGUCCUACACAAAUAGGGCAACAAUUUUUGCUUCAAAGACCAUCCAUAUCAGAUCAGUAAAGUAUAUCAAGCUUAUAACAGACACGCUGCAGCAUGCAUGAUGCCCUCAGGAGUGUGUAUAUAUAUAUAUAGGAUACGAGAGCUGACCUAUACGCCCAAUGAAGGCAGUGUCAAUCAGAGAAGCAAUGGGAUCAGCAGCUAAGGCCAAGGCAGCAGGAAAUGCGAUCCUUAGUAUCUCCAGGCCAAGUGAAUCCAAUUUGAAAACAAGUCUAUAAAACAAAUUGUGAUAAAAAAAUCAGUCAGCUAAAGCUAUCAAACUGCUAUUAACCAGGUCUAAAACACUUUAACAUCCAUUAUUGAUAGCUUAACUUAGUACCUUGCAUCCUUAAAGAGGACAAAAACAGGCACUCCCAACAGGCUCCAUUUGCUCUCAGGUGGGUGCAUAAUACCAUUCUCAGCCAUGAUACUCAUUGGCAAUCAACCUCAAAGUUUAAAGUACUGUUAUAUAGUUGAAGGCUAGUGAUGCUUAUGGUUCCACCCUGAAACUUCUGAGUUCUUAUGAGCUAAGUCCCCGAUCGGAUUCUGCGGAGUGCACGGAAAUCAAUGUUAUAAAAAAGUACAGCUAUUAGUUAAAAACUAUGAAAUCUUAUGGCGAUAACAGAUCUGCAAUGCAAAGCAAGGCAAUGCAAUGCAAUGAGAAUGCAUUGCAUCCUAGUAAAUCAACUAUUGUUGGGUAUUACCGAGACAUCUCUGUCCAAAGAACCAGAAAUCUCACUGCUUAUAAAACCUGGAUAUAACAUGAGACCUCCCUCGGUUGCUUACAAGAAACUUGUCUCACUAUAUACAUUUACAUAUACAAUGCAAGACACCUUCCUCAGUUGUUAAUGUUCAUAUGUAAGAUGAGAACCGAGGUCUUCGAUUCACGUACGACUAGAAUCACAUACCAUUAAUAUAUUAGACAAAUCACUUUUCCGCAGAUUACUCCCUGUCGUUUGCCUCCAUGGAAGAUUCUUUUCUUUUCCUUUUAUUCCUCAGAUAACACACCAAAACCAUAUUAAAUAUAUGGCCAUGCAGGUCAUACAGUCUUCCAAGAUAUUAUUUUCUAGUAUUAAACGAAGGCAGAUUUUGAAAAAUAAAAAGAGCUAAGGAACAUUGUUGGAAAACACAGUUAUCACCGAUUAAAAAGGAUUAAAGAAGGCGACGUGAAAGCAACAUUAAUGUGUACAUAAUUAGCUUGGGGUAAAAACAAAAAAAAGCAGACAAAUGUAGGUUCCUCAUCAGUUUCCAAUAAGUUGUGCUGGCCACUUAUUUCUGUCAUUAACUAUAGUUAAGGGCUUGUAUAUGAUAAAUCACACGUUGAUUUUAUAAACAAAUAUAAAAAUUCUAUAAAAAUGUAAAUAUAUAAAUUAAACAUUUAACACGUGUCAUCAUAUAAUUCUCAUUCUAUGCAUUUAUAAUUUUAUAUUUAUAUUUAUUUAUAGAUAAAAUUUUUGACUCCAAGUCAAUUCAUUUCUAUGCAUUCAUAUUUAUUUAUAGAUAAAAUUUCUCACUCUAUUAGUGUUACGACACAAACCAAUUCAAUUGGUGGAAAUAUCGACUUUAGUAGACUCAAAUUUUUUUUUAAAAAAAAAAGGUAAUUAAGAUAGUUCAAGUUUUUAUAAAAAUAUACUCUCUCUUUUUUUUUUUUAAAAUUUACCCACUCCUCUAAACCUACUACUUAAAUUACCUGCUCUUAAUAGCUAAAAGGAAAAACAAAACAUUUUUAUUCAUGUAGUAUUUUUAAUUAAAUUUUUAAUAAAAAAUUAUCAUAACUUCAUAUUAACAUCUAUUUCAUUAUUAUUAUUUAUUUAAUGCGCGUUUAAUCACCAUUCAAAUAUGCAACACCCAUAUAAGAUCCAUUUAUUAGAUAUGAAAAUUAACUUGUGAAUAGUUAUUAAAAAUGUAUUAAUCUUAAUAGAUGAAAAAUUAAUGAAGUAAAACUAAACCCCACUAUUUCUCGAUAUUAAAAUUAUAUAAUAAAAUAUUAUUUUUUAUUCGUGUUGGGUGUGGCACAAAUUCUAGUUAAAUAUAAAAAUAGGCUUUAAAUUUGUGGCUUGUGAUUCUCUUAUGAGUUUCACAAAUGAUUUGACUUGUAAAAGUAUUAUAGAAGACCCUAUAUUAAGAUUUAGAUUGCAUUUGUCUACUCUACUAAAAAACUAGUUCCUAGAUCAAAGAAUAAAUCAGUCCUUUUUGUUAAAAAUCUUAUCCAUUUAUACUGUUAAAAACUGGCAUGAAUGAUGGAAUAAUCAAAUAGUAAUAUGUGGCUUGCCACGUGUACCUUAUAUUAAUAUAUAUGGAGCAAUUUUUAACAGUAGAAAUGGAAGAAUUUUUAACAUAAGGACUAAUUUGCUUUUUUGAUUUAAAGUAUAAGGACUAAAUUGCACGUUUUUUGGAGUAGAGAGAACAAAAGACAAUCUGAUUCUUAGUAUAGGAACCUCCAUAAUACUUUUACGCGAUUUGAUCACAUAUGUUUUUCAUAAAAACAAAACAUAACAUUUAUAAUAAAAUAGCUUUAAAAAAAAUUCAAUUUUCAUUUCGUGUUACUGAAAAACAGUACAAAUACGUUUUCUAAUAACAUUCCAAGCAAAUGACCAAAUGAAAGCGAAAUAAAGAUGUAAAAUAAAUUAUGGAGAGCGACUUAUCCCAACAAAAGAGAAAGAUUUUGACAAAAUUAUGAGUAUAGUGAUAUUCAAAAUUUGUGUAAACACUAAUUUUGAACACUGUUACCUUUUAUAGAAAGAAAGAAAAGAAAAGAAGAUAUGUAAAUUUGGAAAAGCAUAAGUGAAGGGGAUGGAACUUUAUGAUAAGUAGAGAGGAAGUAAGCUAACUUGUGUUCGGUUCAAAGCCGAUACCAAUGCCAAUGCCAACGCUAACUUGUUCACCAAUUGCCAAACCUACACCUCGCUUUGCCCUUUAUAUACCUUUCAAGACGUUCGUGCUCCCAACACCAAUCAUCAUCUACUUAUGCACGUAUGUAUGUAUGCAUGAGAGAGAGAGCAUGCAUCCACAUCCAUCGUCAGCUUUUGAUGAUAACGACAAACUACAAGCUUCCCUGAUUAUUUGAAAAUAGUAAUAAAAUGCAAUAUCCAAUAGCAAUGAGGCAAGACACACCUACAUACAUACAUACAUACAUAGACGAUGAGCAAUAUUUUCUGCCUCAGGAAUUAAUUCAUUAAUAAGAAAUGUUAAUUGUAGUUGGAUUAUUCAAAGUUGGGAAGUGGAACCAUCCACGUACAGGUUAAAUCUCUUUUAGAAAAAAAAAAUGUAGACCUGCAAAUAUAAGUGCUUAUUUAGUUGGUAGCAUUCAACUUUUAGCAGAAUGUGGGCUACGUAGGAAACCCAAUAUACACCCCAUGCUUAAAAUAGUUGAAUGCCAAUUUCACAUGCUACUUCACUUGCAAUAUCCAUUUGAUUUCACCUUCACCUAAUUUUCUCCAUAUACCCAUCAAUUUGGUUUUCUCAUUUUUAGUGAGUGUGAAUCCAAACUUCGUUACCAUGCCUUAAUUUACAUUUACAUUUACAUUAGAUUCGAUUAAAUUUAGCGUGGAGUUCAAAUUCGUAAGUACUCAUAUACAUAUAUUUUGUCCACCCCAUCAUUGCAGUUAGAGGACAGGGAAUAGGCAACGUACAGCAAGUACAAGUGUUAAAUUCAAAGGACCCUUGAUUUGGGGGGAUUUUGAUAACUCUUACAACUUGUUUUGUUGGUCCAUCGGCUUUUUGGUAGUGACAGAUUACCAGACCCUUUAAAAAAAUUGGAGGGUCCCUUCCCUACUCCUUGAGUCUAUAUUUUCAUAUUUGCAUGUCAUCUCAUCUAAUGUCGUGAUAACUUAAAUUAUUGUCCUUAGAGCAAUUCGAUUUUUUAUUUUCUUUCUAUUUAUAAUUACAUACUCACUACUUCCUAUUGUAUAUUAAUAUGCAAAUGACAUAAUGUCGUAAUUACAGUAUUUUCACCUCUUCUUUUUGUCCUUUUCAACUUCCUUUUCCCAUUUUUUUAUUAUUUGUUUUUGGGUUUGUCUUUUUCCUUUUGCAGCGCCCUAAUUCAUGAUUAUUGGUGGGAAUUAAUUAAUUAAUUAAAAAAAGAAAAUAGAAUAUUCCUUAAGCUUUACAAUUAUAGUUAGUUAUACAAUAAUAUUGUACAUAGUUACUUAGUGGAGAUAGAGCAUUCGAUCGAAUCGAAUCAAAUCGAAUCGAAAAUUUUCGAGUUAAUCGAGUUUUCGAAUCUCAUUUUAUCAUCCUAACUUUAUUUGAAGUUUUCUCGAAUCGAGUCGAGUGAGAUGGAAUUCGGAUCGAAUCGAAUCGAAUAUAUUUGUUCGAGUUAAAUUUUAAAAAAUAAUUUUGGGUCCUUGUAACCACUGUCACCCAUUGUAAUAAAAUUUGUCCACCUUAAUCAAAUUUUUUAUUAACUUUCAUCACCUCAUAAUUUAUUUAUUAAUNNNNNNNNNNNNNNNNNNNNNNNNNNNNNNNNNNNNNNNNNNNNNNNNNNNNNNNNNNNNNNNNNNNNNNNNNNNNNNNNNNNNNNNNNNNNNNNNNNNNGGUUAGCUUCUUUGCUUGCUUAGUUGUUUCAAUUAUCUUCAGAUUCUUGUCACUAUGUAUUUUGGAAUUAAAAAAUAUAUUAAAUGUAAAAAUAUGAUUUUUUAAUAAAAGUUAUUUUAAAUAAAAUGUGAAAUUGAUACCAAUAUAAAAUUUUAACACUAAUAUUUUAUGGCAUUAUUAAUAAUUCAAUUUUAAUAUAAAUAUUCAAUAUGACUAUACAAUUCAAUAAUAUAAAUAAUAUAAAAUGUGGAAUUUAAUUUAAUAAUAUAAAUAGUAGAUAUAAAUAAAAUUAUUACUAUUUAUGUUUAGUGAUUUUUUUUGGAUAAUUUUGAUUUUUUAUUUGAGAGUAAAGGGUGAGAAGUAAAAGUUUAGGGGGAAAAUAAAAAGUUUUGGGGAAUAAAAGUUUGAGGGAAAGUAAAUAGGGGGAGUAAAAUUUUGGAGGGAAAAUAUUAAAAAAUAAAAUUGGAAGGGGGAGGGUUUGGGGUAGAUGGGAGGUGGGAUGGGAAGAGAGUAAAAGUUUUAGGGGAAAAGUGGGAGGGAGUAAAAAUUUUGGGGGAAAAUAAAAGGUUUUGAGAGUUUUGGGGAAUAAAAUUUUGAGAAAAAGUAAAUGAGAGAGUAAAAUUUUCGUGGGAAAUGAAUUUUGGGUAGAUUGAGGGGUUGGGAGGGGAGGGGAGUAAAAGUUUUGGGAGGAAAGUGGGAAGGAGUAAAAGUUUUGAGGGAAAAGUAAAAAGGUUUGGGAAUUUGGGGUAAAAAUAUAAAAUAUUAUAGUUUGAUAUUUGAAUUAUUCGAAUUAUUCGAGUUAUUCGAAUUCGAAAACUCAACCCGAUUCGAACUCGAAAUUUGAAAAAAAAUCGAGUUGAUUCGAAUAACUCGAUUCGUUUAACUCGAAAUUCGAUUUUUUUUUUCGAUUUUUUCGAGUUGAAUCGAGUUUUGCUCACCCCUAGGUAGCAGCACAAACAAGUAAAUGAGAUGUAUUGAAAGAAAAUCGUUAAGAAGAUUGAAGUAGAUCUGGUAACAUUGAACGUAGUUACAGGUGAUGCUUAAUAAGGUGGAGAAGUGGAAAUGUGGUUGACGAUUAGACUCAACAAAGAAACAAGAUGAGAGAAUUUCAAAGAAAAUGUUUUGAGAGUUCAAAAUGCCUAAAUGUCAAAAGUCCUUUAAUCGAUUGUGACAGACUCCUAUUUGCUAUGUUUCAUAAUAUGAGUUACAAAGCUAGCAAUUAAUGAGAAUAAUAACUCAUAUUUUUCAGUUAGAAAGGCAUUAAUGCUUUUUUUUUAAUGAAAGGAUUUUAUAAGUGAUGGCGAAUAGUGAAUAAGAAUUCAUUAUAUUUUUAAAAGAAGGGAGAAUCACUCAAAAUUAUAGGAAAAAGAUUAAAAAGAAAAUGUCUUAACUACCUCCAUAUCUAAUCCACCAAGCCAAACUCCUUGGAACAUUCCAAGAGUGAAAAUGACCCCCAAACCUUGCUAUAUUCCAGGGUUACUUUCACUUAUUUUACUUCGGUGAAAUAAUAUUAUGGAAAACAUCUUCUGCUUAACAUCUCUUAAGGUGUAAGAUGAAGGUUGUUCUUGAGUAAGAGUUAUUCUGACUUGUUCCAAAUGUGACUAGUUCUCAUCAUAGUUGUUCCAAACAAGACUUGUUAUGUGGUGAUGAUUUUCAUGGUAAAGCUUGUUCUAAAUAAUGACUCUUUAGAAAAAAACACAAUUGUUUUAAAUACAAGUUGUUCUAAAUAAUGGUUAUUCUAAAUAUAGUUAUUCCUGAAACGUUAUUAUUCUAAACAAGAGUUGUUCUGAAAUUUAGCUGUUUUCAACAGGAGUUAUUCUUAAAUAACAGAUACACUGGAUGACAGUUGUUCUAACUAAAGCCUUGUUCUAAACAUAGCUAUUCUCGAACAACAACUAUUCUAAACAAGAGUUGUUGCUCUGAAAAAAAAUAUUAAGUGAAACAAUAAUGCUACUUGUUCUACGCUUAGUAGCACAAUUUCCUAAAAUAUAAUAUUAUUUAACUCAAGGAAGAGAUAAAAUGUUAGUAGCCAAACUUGAAUAUCUACAAAUAUGUAGUACAAAUAGGGUUCAUUUGGAUGGGUGGUGUUGAUUUCCAAAGAUUUAAAGCAUCAGUGACUAUGAGAUUACUUACUGUAGUAGUAAGAUUAAGUACUAUAGAAAUGAAAUUAAAAUCGGUGGUGAGACAUGUAACACCCCAUACUCGACUCGAUCACCGGGUCUGAGUUAUAAGGUACCAUAUUCGUUGUCAAAGCAACUACGAUAAAAUAAAAUAUGAUUCACAUCAUUAAUAAGAUAAAUAUAAGAAUUAAAAGCAAUCAAUCCAAUAAAUAAUUAUCCCCGAGUCAUAUACAAGCUUACGAAAGCCUUAAAGUUAACUCGAGAUCGAAUUAGGACUAAAUUGUAAAAGUUUCAAAUUAUAGGAUCGACGUCGCGAUGUGAGAGAGUUUUUCAUCGUGACAUGAGAGAGUUCCUCAUCACGACAUGACACACUAUUUUGGGUCUCGUUGAGACGACAAGUUUCUCACCACACCGUGAUAUUAUAGGCCAUUUCUUGUUGCAACGUGGUACAUUUGACAUCGUGAUGUCAUAUAUUGUUUCUAAAAUUCUAGUUUUUCUCAAGCCUACAAUUUCAAGCAAUAUCAAACAUAUACCAAUCUCAUUAUCCUUAAGUUACACAUACAUAUCUAAUACACCCAAUAUUGAAUUGUAUCUCUAUUCACAUAAGUAACCAUUCAAUUCUUUUCACCAAUUUCCUUCAAAUACUCAAUCCAUUUCAUCAACUAAUUUAACAUUCACAACAUAGAGAUGCAAGCAUAUAAAUGUUCAUAUAUAUCAUUUUAACCAUGUUGCCAUUUCAUAUAUCAUACCUUAAUCAACUAAAGCAAAUCUAAGUUGUAUAUAUAUACAUCAAACAUAUAUCAUUUGAAGAACAUCAAAUGCAACAUCUAAGUUAUAAGUAUCAUAUUAUACCAACAAAACUCAACCAAUUAGGUACAUGCCAACUACUAACAUAAAAAAUGCACAAAUAUUGCUGAGUCGGGUUUGAAUUCUGGACGCUAAAAAGACAUCCCCACGAUCUAUUAAAAAUUUAAGUUACCUGUGCACGGAGAAAACAAAAUCGUACGCUGAGCGAAACACUUAAUGGUAAUUCUACAAUUCAAAGCAAUAUAAACAAAUUUAUAAAAAUGUAUAUAUUCAAAUCAUAAUCUAACCCAUGCUAACUCAUGAAAAAUUACUUCCACUUUCGUAUAGCUAUGCUUAUACCAAUUUUACAAGCCAAUUCAUAUGUUUAAAUAUGUUAAAACUACCAUUACCAUAUAAGUUAUUCACAUUCAUUCAUAAGCAUUAGAACACCAUUUUGAAUUCAUUUCAAAGCAUGUUUAUAAAUAUAUUCAAUUCCAUGCUAUCAUUUAGAGAUUUUGAGCUUAUAGGCUUGUUCAAAAUCAAUCAGCCCUCAAGGUUCGUUUUUAACCCAAUCAUAGGGUUUUCCACAUAUCGUCGUAUCUCACAUUUCAUUUCAUUCAUUUACCAUUUGGUCAGUUCUCAAACUUUUAACCCUAUUAACUUGACACAAAUUCUGUACGGAUACACAGAUCGGUCACCUCAGGUUGUCCGACAAUGAUGACGCUAUAACGAUAUAUAAUACCACUCUAGAUUGCCCGACAAUAAUGGUUUUCUCAACUCAAUCAAUCUGUCACCCCGGGUUGCCCAACAACAAUGACUCAAUGCAUAAUGUUUGCCACCCCAGAUUGCUCGGUAAUGAUGGUUUUACUCAGUACUCUGACCCUAUGGCAUGCCAACUAUGUCUAACACAGUCUGAAUCGCUAAUAGGGUAACCAAAUUCCAAUUUCAUUAUACAAUUCAAUUUAUACUUUAUCAUGUAAAUUCAUUAUCAAUUUAUCAAUUCAACACAUAAUAUGACAUGUUUUAACUCAAUUUAUUAACAAAUUGCAUAUAUCAUGCAAGUCAUGAAAUUUUUUUGUAACACUCAACGCCCGACUCGCCCGUCAGAUCCGGCUAUGGAGCAUCACAAACGGGCCAAAUUAAAUUAUCUUAAAAUUUCUUUGGCUAAACUAUUAUGAAUCAGACUAAAAUGAAAUCAAUAGUAAUGAUUACAACCAAGGACCUUAAGCCACUAAAUGUUUAGAUCCUCAUAGUUUUAGUUUUUGUGAUGAAUGACUUGAUUAUUAUGUGAUAGUAAUUGACUUUUCAUGAAGAAAGAUGUAAUGAUUACCAUGAGAUAAAAUAGGAUCAUAUUGGAAGAACGAAUUUAUCUUAAAGAGAUUAAGGAUAUCCUAUGAGGGUAACACACUUAUGACAAGGUCAUUGGACGAGCACUAAUUGAGUUGUGUUAAACUAGGCCUUAUUCGAUAAUAUGUUUUGAUAUAACAAAUUAAAGUGUUUUUAAUAAAAGUAAAGUUGAGCAAUUUGAUAAAAUCAAGCUGAAAUGGUUUCAAUUAAGUCAAACAUUUUCAAAUAUGUUUUAACCAUUUUCAAACAAGUUAGAAUUGCUCUAGAACAAUAUUGAUACUUUUUGUCUAAAGUAUCGAUAUUUUACAAGAUAUCAAUACCCUUCUGAUAAUCGAUACCAAAUUGACAUUCUGUUUCUUUCAAACCCUAGUAGGUAUCGAUCUAGUAUCGAUACUUUUCUUAAGGUAUCGAUAUAUUUCCUAAGGUAUCGAUUUUCCUUCUCCAACGGUCACUGAAAUUUGUAUUAAUUACAAAAAAAUAUCGAUACCUUUUUAGUAGGUAUUGAUACUCGUUGCUGUAGGUGUAAUUAAUGACUUGGUAUUUCAACCCCAACGGCUAUAUUUACUUCCACAACAACCACAACGGUUGGAAAUCAAUUAGAGGGGUAUAAAUACUAGCUUCCAAAGGUCUAGCAACAAGAAGAGCAAUGUGCAAAGCUUAAAGAUAAAUCAAAACAACCUAUAACUUAAUUCUUUUAUACCUUUUCUUGUAGACACUUGUGAGCUUUCAUUGUAUUCAUUUAGCUUAAGUGUUCUUUGUAUUUGUACUUAAUUAGCAAACAUCUUGAUCUUGUUAGGAUUGUUUUCUUUGUUUGCUUAUUUGCAUCUCUUUUGAGAGAAGGUUUACUUUGAAGGUUUGGAUAGAAAUCUUAAGGGAGUUGUAUCUCAGGAUUUUGGGGUAUAAGUCCUAAGAGAGAUUGUAAGGUCAAACCUUGUUCUCAAAGGUUGCCAAAUUAGUGAAUUUGGGAAAAUCCUUGGUUGUGGAAAGCUAAGGUAGUGGAGUAGGCAAUUGGGGCCGAACCACUAUAAGUCCUUGUGUUCUUUGUUGCACAAUUUUUGUUGCUUCCACCACAACUUCUCAAAGGCUAUUUCAACCUCUCUAUUAUCGAUCUCGAGUUGAUCCUUCCGAGCUAACAAGUUGCUUUCGUAAUGGUGUGUCAUUGGGGAGAACUUAGUCACGACACUAUAGUGGAAUGACUUAGUGACUAAAUGAGUUUAUAAUUAAUAGGAAAAAAGCUGAAACUUAAUUAUAAAUCAUUUGAGCCUCAAUCGCAUAUGUCCAAUCGAUCCCUCCGCUAGCUCGAUGUAACCAUAAAUGAAUUGCAUGUUAAAUCAAAUGAACAAAAAUGGAUAGAAAUGGUAAAAAUGGAUAAAUGAGAAGCAUUUGGAAAUGAAUGUGGUUUUCUCCAAAAUGAAAAUGACCCGAAGAUGAAUUUAUGAUUUCCGAGUUAAUUGAAGUUCAAAAAUAGAAAUAAAUCAUUUGGUCAUAGUAAAUCCGUUGAAUGUAGAAAUAUUAAAUACAUUUUCUCAUACAUUCUUUUACGGUAAAGUCGUCAGGAUUUUAACGGAAUUAGAAUUGGAUUGAAAAGAUUAUUUAAUUGAGAAAUUAAUUUAUGUAAAUUAAUAUAAUAUGUUUAUUUUGGGAAAAAAAUAUCGGGUUGGAUCAUAUUAUAAAGUAUUGAGUUAAAAAUUCAGGAAGUACUUGUAAUUGGACUCGAUAUGGGAGAGGCCCGAAAAACUCCUCAUGUUUAAGAGAGGGGCGACAAACCCUAGAUUCUUUGACUAGGGUUGCCGCCCCACCUACUCCUAGUUAGACUAAGAGUACAUUUUUCUAUUGAAAUAGACUUGUACAAUUCAACAAGGGUUUUACUUCUCCUCUUAUAAAUAGAUGGCACCGGUAGGAUUAAAUACACAACUUUAAGAUAUUGUUACUUUACCCGAAAAUGGUGAGUUUAUUCUCUAAGUAUUAAAUCUACUUUCCGGAAUAACAAAUCUGCCAAUUUCUAUUAAGAAGAUAUUUUGCUUUCACACUGAAAGUAAAGAAAACUAUUUUUGGUUCAGUGUUUUGAUUCGAAUUGUUCAAGCCUACACUCAAAGUAGUUCAUGGUAUGAGAAUCGCGGACAAGAUUGUUUGGUUGAAAGCCAGGAACGAAAAGGAUCCGUUUAGUCGAAAACACAUUUGCGAUUUCAGUAAAUGUUUUAUUGAUAUAAAUAUCACAAACUAGCUCGAUUUUCAAAAUUUUUAUUUUUUAUUGUGCAAAAAAACAGUUUUCAAACCAGAUUUUUUCCAACAGUUACAAAGUAUAACAUACCAAACCUCAUCAAUGGGAUCUUUUAAGUAAAAAAACUUGUUUCACUUAAGAAGAGAAAACGUACAACUUGUCUAUCAAUUGUUGUCCAUUGUGAAUUAAUCAAGAGAAAUUGAUCUUUUUUAAUCCUUCGAGCAAUUUGACAUCAGUCCAUUCGCAUCGAAAUAACAACAUUCCAUUUACCAUAAUUAUCCUAAUCAAUAGUAUUCGUAAGAAGUUCAUAAAUUCCAUAUUUCCCUUCAUAAGAUUACCAUCUUUAACACUAGCAUAACAUAUAGUUGAAGAAGUAACAAUUAUUUCACAAAUUUGCAUUUUCCUUAAUCUUUCAUGAGAUUUUGUAUGAAAUCUGAAGUACUAAUGAUAAAAGUAUUAUAUUAUUCAAGAAAGACAUUAUAUAUUUUUGAUAAAUGAUAAUCAAGAAGAAAUACUAGUCUUAAUAUAAAAACUUAAAAAUAAUAUCAUACAAAAUAACAAUUAAUUAAACCCAAAAAAAAAUUCAAAAAACAAUCCCUAAAUGAAUUCUUUGUUUGACACCUAUCCAACCAUAGAAUUGAUUUUCUUUUUUGUUUCAAGGGCACAAUACGAUGUCGUUUUUAGUUCCAUCCUAAAUUUCAGUCCACAGUAAUACGAUAUGGUCGUCUCGUAUUUUUGAAUUUUCUUGAGCUUUGGAUGUAACCUAUUCAAAAUUGAUAAGCUAGAGUUGACACCUGGAUAUAUAUAGUUUUACCUGUAGAACAAACUUCCUACAUUUUCUUGGUUUGACAGAGAAAGAGUUGGUUGCAAACCACAAAUGACCUGUGUUGGGAGAUAACACAAUUUCAUGAACUUUGCAGGUAAUAUGAAUGAUAAGAGCAGUAUUUUUAUUAUUUAAAAUUGGUAAUGUUUCAAUUUAAGCACUUCUUUUCAUUUUUAUCCAAACACAUCAACUCAAGAAUACCAAAGUUCUCAUACCUCACACUAAGAAGAUUUACUCAUUCAUAGAUAAGUUAACAAAUUAAAAAAAAAUGCUUGAAAUUGACCCGAGGCAAAGAACAUGUUUGGCUUAACUUUCUACAAAGUUCACGAUGUAUUUUUGGAUAGGAUCUAGGUAUUUUUUAGUCGAAAUGUCUCUUGAUCGAUGAAAGAUCAAUCUCUUAGUUUCAAAAUUCACUUUGAAUCAUCUAGCUUCGAGCUCAAGUUACGACUGUUUUAGUGAAAAUUGUGCGAGUAGAAUUUCUGGACGGGAUUAUAUAUGAGUCCAAUAUUGUAUUUAUUAGGCUUUAUAUUUUUUUUACUUAUUUUGAAUUUUAGGAUAUUUUAAAGUAUUAAAGUUUAUAAGUUUUAUGUUUCUUAGUCAACAAGAAAAUUUAAUUAAACUAGAACUACGGCUCGUUUAUAUUAAUUUGAGUUUCAUUAUAGUUAGGAGUUUGAUUUUGAUGUAAUGAGCUAGCCUAUUAAGGCAUCUUCAUUAUUUGAUUUAAUACAACUCUUUUAACUUCUUUCUUUGUAAGAAAUCUCUCUUGUUUAUUUUAGAAUUUAUUUUUUUUUCUUGAUUUUCUUCUUGAAGUCUUGGUAGUCUCUUCACCCUCCAAUUUAUUAAUGUUUAACCGCCGGGCCAACAAUAAUGAAUUAAUUAAAAAUUUUGAAAAAAAUAAAAAAAAUAAGAAAUUAUGAAACCAGUUCAACUGUAGCUUUUCGUCCUAGUUUUCGAAAUUUACCAAUUUCAAGUAAUUUCUAAGUCAACCGGUUCAACCUUUUGUUUGGACUGUUAUAUCGAUCAGUUCUCAUUCCGUUCGAUCUAGUCUUGUUCCAAUAACACUGGUCACAUUAUCAAAUCUUGACGGAAUCCAAAUUUAAAGACCAAAAUGAAUCUAGUUGCUAAGUUUAAGAACCAAAAUAGAUAAAAACUAAAAUUUAUAUCAUUCCUUUUAAAAAGAAUGCAACGAGGACCAUAUUUCUCACUUUUUCUCAUAUCACUUUAAAAGAUGAGGAAUCAAUAAAUUUAACGUUGGCUUAAAGUAUUUACUUAUUUACUUCAGAACUAAACGUACAUGGAUAAAAGGUAAUUUAAGCACUUUCGUGUGGAAGACACGAUAUGAGCACGCGUACGUUAUUAAAAUAAUAGGAUUUGAGCGCAAUGUCGUGUGGAAACCAUAUGCAUGCAUUCCAGCUCAUGAAAAGAAACCACUUACCAACCUUUUUUCCCCCUUCUUUUGGCCCUAUAAAUUAUAUAAUUAAUCCCAUGCACUAUGUAUAUAUAAGAUAAGCGCUGUGGAUUAACAAACAAAAGCAAGCCUAAUAUCUAAAUAAAGUAGACAUCAUAUACAUGCAUUAAUGCAUGAUAAAAACUGCUUGCGAAAGGUUCAUGUGUAGCAAAGCCUCUUUUGUCUGGGGAAAUUAAAAACUAUAAAUAAAAAUUGUAGAUUUUAAAUCUCUUAGUGCACCCGUGGUGCUUGGAGUGGAGAUGCCCCUCAACACUACUGCUUUCAGUCACAGAUGUCGCUUGCACCUGAGAGGUAAUUAAUUAUAUUUUAUAAUUUAAUCUCUGCUUCUAAAUAAAAUUCCCAACACUGUCCCAUUCGGUCAGUGACCAAACUGAUCAGAAAGCACUGACAUCAUUUUCGCUGCCUGAAUUUAAUUUAUAUAUAAUGUUCAUUGGUAGCCGAUUAUAUUAUAUCUGCUUCCCAACAAAUUAAUUUAAAAAGGUGGUUCCUAAAUUAAUGAUUAUUGACUUUGUGCUAAAUAUGUUACGGCCACCAGGAUUGUGGUAUAAAAGAAAAAAAAAAAGGAGUUUAGACAGCCUGGAUUUUACUAAACUCAAAAUCCCUUCAGCAGUGUCAAGUGGGAAUAUUCAAAACUAAGCCCAACUUUUGGUAAGAUUUGGUUAUGGGACCAAAUAUAAAUUGUACAACUCCAUUGGUCGGCUCAAUUUUCCUCCACAUUCUUUCCAUAUGCUCAUUAAUAUAGUAGUGGUGAUACCAAUACCAUCAUCCCCUUUAGUGGACAUAUUGGAAUAACCUAAGCUUCUACUCUUAACAAAACACAAGUUUGAACUAUGAAAGGGAUAAUCACAAAAUUUUAAUAUGGAUCGUAAAAUGGAUAUGGAAGAUACUGAAAUAUCUAUAGCAUGCGUAUAGGUUUUAUGUAAUAAAUAAUAAUGGAAGAUUUAUAAAUAGAUACUAAAAAUUUUAUUUAAAUACUAAUUACUUUCAACGUUUGGAUUUCUCGAGUUUAGGGUUUCAAGUUUAGAGUUUAAUGAUGAGGUGUCAUAUCGUUACCCACUGAUAGCGCAUGAGACUCAUGGACCGACGGUGUUAACUGGGCAACUAAUACGGUUGGAUAAUAAUUAAAAAAAAUCAAAUUUUACAAAAUAAAUUAUAUUGUUAUGAAGAUAUUUUAUUAUUUUUAUAAAUGAUCAAUAAAAAAUCCAUAAAUGAUGAGAUGUGAAUCUGGAUUAUUAAGAUUUUAAAACUUUUUUAUGUGAAUUUUUUAUAUAUAUAUAUAUUUUUACAUAAGAUUUUUUAUAUUUUUAAAUUUGAUUAACUCUGAUAAUGAUUUUUUAAUUACAUAAAUGAACCACAACACCGCCAUAUGUAUCAUUUCUUUUUUGUAUUUAAUUUUUUUAUAACGUGUCAUGCAUCUUUUUAAGGUUAAAGUUUUAUUAAAGGUCCUUGUACUAUGUAUUUUUAAUGGAUUUAGCCCCUCUACUCUACUGUAAUUUGAUGAUUUCUAGUCCUUUACUCUUCGACAUGUAUAUUUUCAAUUUUGAGGCCAUAUUUUGUCCAUGAAUUUGCCAAUUAUUUGACGUGGUUUAUUUUAAGAAAAGAAAUGGUAAUGUGGCAUAUAUCCUUGGUACUUUUUCUAUAAUUAGACAAACAUUACCCAGUUUUCCCAUUUUUUAAUGCGAAAAAUUUGUCCAAUUAUAUAGAAACACCAAGGUAUACAUUGUCAUGUCCUUUUAGAAAAAAGCCACAAAAAUUAUUUGAUGAAACUAACAGAAAAUUUUGGUCUAAAAACUAAAAAUUUUGAAAAAGUAGAUAGACUGAAAAUGACUAAAUUAUAGAAGAGGGGCUAAAAUUGUCAAGAACUUAUAGUACAAGGACUUUAUUUAGAAUUUGACCUCUUUUUAACUAUGCUUGUCUGAAAUCUGCGCUAACUAUAUACCAAAUAAUUAUUAAUUAAUUUUGUCAACUGAAAAUUCAUUGGACAAGGCUGUCCAAACCCAAAGAUUAACAGACCUAAUUUCAGUAAUUUGUAGUAUUUGAAGAAAUCAUUUUAUCACCAAAAUUUGUUUUAGUCGUAAUUUUUAAUUACUCAAAAUCGUCUUGCCACGUGCCAAGUAAUCGUAUGAUGAUAUUAAUCCGCCCCUUGAAUAAUUGUGAGAAAAAUUAAUAUGGUUCAGGUUUAAGGUUGGGGGAUUAUUUUUAAUGUUCGAAUUAUGUUUUUUCAUUAAGAAUGUAUCUAAUAUUUUUCGGUAAAUAUUUAUUAUUUUUUUACUUCUUCAAUAUCAUCACUUUCUUUUCAAAUAUAAAUCAGUGAAAACUUUUACAUGUUUAAGGUUUAAAUUUAUUGUUUUAAAUAUUUAAUAGAAAUAAAUUUACUAUAAUUAUAUUUUUACAUGUUUAUUUUAUAUUUAGUCAGGUUUAAAUUAACCAAAGAUUUAGUGAAUGAUUAAUAUAGGCUUAAGGGUUUGCAAUUAAUCGACGAUGAUGCAGCCACUAGUUAGAAAUAUCAAGGAGUUUGAGGAAUGGCAGUCAGGCCAACCAAGUUGCAGACUUUGUUGUGGUGGCCAACAGGGACUUGCUCUCUUUUACUCAAUGAUGUAAUGCAUCUUUUGUAAUAGCUAAAAAUUAUAAAUAAAAAAAUUUUUAUUUAAAAAUAUUUUAAAAAUUACAAAUUAAAAAAUUUGAAAUUAUUAAAAAUUUAUAAAUAUAAAAUUUAGACAAAAAAAUUUAUAUAUUUUAUAUUUUAUAUAAGGGAGGGAUUAGUUAUAUAUUCUUCUACAGUUAAUAUUUUAAUAAUUUAAUCGUCAUAUUUCAUAUUCCAUUUAUAUAUAUUAUGCAUAUUAAAUUAGAUGUAAAUUAAUUUUUUUAACAAUUUAUUUUAGGUAAAAAAUUUUCAAUCGUUAAAUAUAUAUAGUAUUAGGCGAUGCACAAGAAAAAUGUAAUUUUUAAAAAUGAGAGUAUUUUAUAAAAUUUAGUUGAGGUUGAAGUAAAUAUAAAAUGAAAAGAGGUAUGUGUAGCAAAUUUUAAUCGUUUGCAAUGAGAUAAUUAUUUUAUUUAGUUCAUAUAAGGAUAAAAUGUGGAAUCAAAAUAUACAGUUAAAAAUUAAUGAAAAAUAUUAAUAAAUUUAAUAGUUAAUUUUGACUGUUACGCAUUAAAUUUAGUAGAAUUAAGCAAACAUAAGAAUUUUAUAAUUAUUAUAAUUUUAAUUUUUGUAUAAUAUGGAUGUCGAACCCGUUUUUUUGAAAACAAAAAUUUUAGUUGUCGACUUUUAAAAAUAAAAAUUGGAGUCGCCACCGAUCCUUUAUUAAGGUGUGAUCGGCUCACCUUAAAAUGAUUUUGGUCUAUGAAAUUUGAGAGAAUGAGUCCGAGAGUCAGUUACGCACGAGGAAGGAUUAGCACCCUCGUAACGCCCAAAAUCGGUACCAAAUUGAUUCUUUAAUGCCUUGGUGUCGAAAAUUUGAAAAGAUUUUAAAAGGAAACUUUUUAUUUCGUGAAUGAAUCAAAAUAAUAAGACAUUCUUAUUUUAAAGAAAUAAAACACCACAGCCAGUGAGUUAGGGCACAAUGUUUUUAAAUCUUCAAAAUACCCGAAUAUUGCCUUUUGCUUUUGAAAAUUUUUAUUUCGAGAAGUCAAAAUAUCAGGACCAGUAAGUUAGGACCCAACAUUUUUGAAUCCCCGAGAAUAAGCUUUAUUUGAAAUCUGUGAAUUUAUUGCAAAACAAAUACUGGGCUCUCUAAAUUCAUCAAAAAAUAAUCGCAAUCCAGUAAGUUAGGAUACGAUUAUUUUCUCGAGAAUCAUGAAUGCCAAAUAUUUUAGAAUUUAUAAAAUAGGAUGAUUUAAAUAUUUUGAGAAAAUCAAAAUAUAUAUUUUUUAAAAGGGAUGCUAAAAAGGGUUAAGGUAUAACAUGAAAUAGAUUCUCUAUUUUCAAACAUAUAUGAAUAAGUAUUUACAAAUAUAUAUACAAGUAGAUAUAAUAUACAAACAAAUUUACAAAUAUGCGUACGUAUAUAUUUAAUGCAUACAUAGAAGUGUACAUAUAAAAAAAAGGAAGGUAAAGAAAUAUAUACAACAAGCUCACAAUAGUUUCUAAGAAUAUGCAUGCAAAACUCGUGUAUGUAUAUGUGAAAAUUGUGAAGAUAAAAAUAUCAAAAUACGCAUAUGUAUAUAUAUUUACAAAGAAAAGUAUAAGUAUAUCGUAAAAAAACAAAAUAAAAAUAAAAAAAACAUAUGUACAUAAAUAUUUAUAAAAAAAAUAUAUAAAAGUUUUAUUUAUAUAUGUAAAAGUAAGAAAAUAAAAUAAAAUAAUGUAUAAAAUAUAUAGAGGUAUUAUAUACUUUUAAAAAAGUGCAUAUAUAUAUAUUAUAUAAAAGCCAUGCGUAUGUACAUGUAUUAUAAAAAAACAAUGCAUGAAUGUUAUAAAAUAAUAAUAAUUACGUAUAUAACAUAUGCAUAUAAAACAUUUAAAUAUAUAUACAGUAUAUACAUAAAUAUGAUAAAAAAUGCAUGUGCGUGUACAUAGAUAGGUAUAAUAAUGAUAAUAAAAAUAAUUAAAAAUAUGGACUAAAUUGAAUUAAAACAAAAAAGGUAAAUUUGCAAUAAACAAAAAAAGAACCAAAUUGGGGCGCGCGAGCAACAGUGGGGACUAAAAGGGAAAUUAAUCCCACCCCCCAAAACGCUGCGCAGCGAGGGAUCAAAUUGAAACAAAAAUGAAAUAUGCGGCAAAAUUAAAAAAAAAACAAAAUGGAUUUGAUUGGAGCGCAUCGCAAAAAGGAGGACUAAUAGCACAAAUAUCUCAUUUAAAGCCAGAACGCGCGGAUCCUCCCCUCCGGGUCGGGUCACCGCGCGGGUCAUGGCUACCUAAACGGCACCGUUUUGCAGUCGUUAUAAAACCAAAAAAAUUUCCCAAAAGCCCCAUUUUUUCUUUUGUUUACAAAUGAUAGCAGAGAAACCCUCUGCUAGGGUUUCUUUUCCAUGCCGCCGUCGCCAUUCAAAGCCAUUCCUAUGGUUUCAGUCGGUGCCCCCAGUCACCGGUUACAACGGCGAAGGGAGCACCACGACAAUAUUAGGUAAGAUCCUCUUUUUUUAAAAAAAAGCUAAAAACGGAAAAAAGGAAAUCGAUAAAGAAUAAUAAAAAAACCUUUCAAGAUCUUUUCUUUAGAAAAUUUUCCUCCUUUAUUAUUGUCUACAACAAACGAGAGAUAAACAAAAUAGGAGAAUAAUAGAAACACGAUUUCACCUUCAAAUCUUCAGUAUUUCUCUGUCUUUUCGUAUUUCUUUCUAUUUUCGUAUAUUUUUUUACACUGAAAAAUUCCCCCCCAUUUACAGAUUUUCCUCGGCUUUAUAUAGCCGAAAAAUGAAGAAAAAAUCAAAGAAAUAACACAACAUCUUUGUAUUUCCGUUAUUCUCUCCUUUUUUGCGUUUUUCUCUUUCAUUUACUUGUUCUUUACGUCUGUUUUGCCGUUUGUUGCGCAGAUUCGGCCAACUGGGGAUGUACGUGGGACACGUACGUGCGCAAAGGGUGGUGGUGCAGGGCUGAUGUGCGGCGGCUAGGGUUGAAGGUUGUAUGCUGCUAGGGUUGCUGCUGGAAUUUAGUUAGUGGGCUGUUUAGUUUGGGUCAGGUGUUGGGCCAUUCUAGGUUUAGUUGGGCCCGGACAUUAUUGGGUUUGUACAAUGGACAUCUUGGAAAAUAUGUUUGUGCACUUAAUUAAUAUUUAAUGAUAAUGAUGAUAAUAAUAGUAUAAAAAAGUAUAUAAAAGAUUACAUUUUAACUUAAUAUUUAAUGAUGAUAAUGAGAAUAAUAGUAGUAAUAAUAUAAAAAAUUUAAAUAAAUUAAUGUCUUAAUUAAGAAGUUGAACUCUACUUUAAUUAUAUAUGUGAAAUAUAAUUUCAUAUAAAAUAAAGUUUCUUUGUAUGCUUUUUAAAUAUAGAUAUAAUAAAUAAAACGUGCAUAAUUUUUAAAUAUUAUUGUUGAAAAUUGAAUGUAAAAGUAAAAAUCAAUAAGAAAAAAAUCGUAGGAUAAAUGAUAAUGUGAUUUAUGAAAAACGGCAAACUAAAAUUUUUAUUGUAAAAUAAAUAGGCUUAAAAAAUGUUAAAAUUUAAAUUAAAAUAUUUUUAUUAAAAAUGUAAAAGAAUUACUAAAACAUACAAUAGUUUAAUAAAAUUUAAUAUCAAAUAAAUAAAUAAAAUAUAAAAAAUAAUUUAAGGAAACAUUUUUAAAAAAAAAAUAGUGUAAAGAAAAAUGAAAGAUCAAUAAAUUAACGUUAAUUUCUGCAAACGUGACACAACUAGUCAAUCUGGUGGUGUCAUGUGGCAACCUCUCAAAAUACCAUGUGACAAACAUAAAUUAAAAAAUAUAUACUAAAAAUUAUAUUUAUGUUUUCCAUGUGGCAUUCUAAGAGGCUGCCACAUGGCACCAUCGGAUUGACUAAUAGUACCACAUUAGUACAAACUAACGAUAUUAGUGUGGAGGUACCAACUUGGUUGACGAAAUACAAGUUAACGGAUCAACUUGUCCAAAAAAAUAUUAGGGACCAACUAGGUACCAAUGGACAAGUUUAGGGGCCAAAUUAUAUAUUAUCCCAUUUAAAAAAGGGUUGAUAUGCAGUUUGCCUUAUUCUGUCAGCCAGGUUGGUACCAUCACAUUAACACCGUUAAUUUGUGUUGACAUGGCAUUGAUGGCCAAUAUUAUAGUGACACAUGGCAGCUUCUUAGAAUCACAUGUGACUAAUAUAAAUUAGAAAAAUAAAAAUCUUUUAAAAAUUAUAAAUUAAUUUAAAAAAGUAUACUUUUUUAAUAAGUUUAGCUAUCAACUAGGUACUUUUGGAUAAAUUUAGGGGGCAACCUACAUGUUAACUCUUAAAAAAAUAAACGUUGUUAACAAAUUGAGAUAAUGUGUGACUGAAUACGAGUUUAGGUCUUAACUAGGCACAAAAAAGGUUCAGAUACCAACUAAAUACUUUUGAACAAAUUUAAGAGCCAAACAACAUAUUAACCCUGUUAAAAAUAAUACUUUAUAGUAUUUUUGUUCCAUGAUAUAUUUGUCUCCUUAAUUAAAAUUCAUUAAUUGUAAUUGAUUAUUAAAUUAAAUAUUUUAAAUAAUUAAUAAAUUUACUUAUGUGUCACUUUUUGAUUGGUUACACAUGGGAUGUUGUGAAUUAUUCCAAAGGUGCUUCUUUUCAUGUUUGGGUGAAUAAGUUACUUUAUAUAUACUAGUUUUCUUUCUCUUUAUGUAUAUAUCAUUUAGAAUAUAUAGUAUAUUUGUAAUAUUUUGAAUAUAUUAUAUGUAUUUUUUGUGUUUAUAGAAUAUAUUACAUGCAUAAAUAUUGUGAAUUACAAAUAUUAAUAUUAAACUAAUUAAAUAUACAGAGAUGAUUAUGUCUAAACCUUAUUUUAGUAUCAUAUAUAUAUAUAUAUGAUAUGUAUGAUGUAUAUGAUGAGUAAUUUAAAUAAAACUUCAUACAUUUUUUAAGGAGUAAUUGGAAAUAUCUAAAAAUGAAAAAAUAUAGGGUAAACUAUUAAAAUAGUCACUUUUGUUUACUUCAGGUUACAUUUUAGUCACUUAUAUUUGAAAUGUUACGUUUUAGUCACUUACGUUGUUGUGUUGUAACAUUUUAGUCACUAAGCCGUUAAUUGCCGUUAACGGUAUAACGAUAAGCUAACGUGGCAUGUUAAAUCAUCAUUGCAAAUGAAAAUUUUAGGUCAAAUUCUACAAUUGGUCCCUAUAUUUUUUCAUUUUGAGCAAUUUAAUUUUUUUCUUUUAUGUUCUUUAAAUUUUUUUUUUAAUUUUCCAUUCUCUUCUACUUCUCUCUAUGUUUUCCUCCCUUCUUCAUUUCUUUUAAUAUAGUUUUUCUAUGUUUUCCAUUUGUUAAAACUAGUCCACAAGCUCGCCUCACUCGAAAAAAUUAAAUUGUUUUAAAAAAUAAAAGUAUAGGGACUAGUUUUAACAAAUGGAAAACAUAGAAAAAUUUCGUUAAAAGAGAUAGAGAAGGAAGGAUAACAGAGGGAGAAGCAGGAGAUAAUGGAAAAUAAAGAAAAAAAAAAGGAAAGUUAAAAAAAAUAAACCAAAAAAUUAAAUUGCUCAAAACGAAAAAACAUGGGACCGAUUGUAUAAAUUAAUCUGGAUUUUUUUGUUUGAAAUGAUGAUUUAACGUGCCACAUCAGCUUACCAUUACACUGUUAACGGCAAUUAGUGGCUCAGUGACUAAAAUGUUACAACGCGAUAACAUAAGUGACUAAAACGUAACAUUUCAAACACAAGUGACUAAAAUGUAACCUAAGGUAAACAAAAGUGACUAUUUUAGUAGUUUAUCCUAAAUAUAAUUACUUUUGAUAUUUUUUGAAAAUGAAUAAAUAUAAUUGUUGGUUGUUUCUGUUCUUAAGUGCAUAUCUAUGCUUUUUGGAGAUGAUAAUUCAUGCAUAAAAACAGAAACUAAAAUCAAAUUAAAGAAAGAAAAUAUAUUUAAGAUGUAUUGAUGUUACAUUUAAAAUUGUUUUUCAAGUUUAUUUAUACUUAAAUUUAAAUUUAAAAUUUGAUGUUAAUGUAAUAUAAUAAAUAAAGAUUGUUUUAAUUAUAUAUUUAUCAAAAUUAUUAUUUAAUAGUAUCAAUGUGUGGUUAAAACCAAUAUAUAUGCUGAUACAGAGUAUAUGUAGAAAGGUAUUUUUAGCACCAUUAGUGUAUAUUAUAUUUGAUAACAAAAGAUUCAACAGUUUGUGUUAAUACACAACUUGUUGAUAUAGAGUUUAGUUCUAAUAGCCAGAAUCAAAUUCCGGCAAACUCAAAUAUAUAUAAAAGAGGGUGGAAAUGGUGAUUUUGUUCAUAUUCAUUGAAGCGGCAGCUGGGGCAGGGGCAGACUUGGUUCUAUGAAGAAGUGAUAGUGCAGGUGCUGUUAUAUUUUUGGGUUCGGUGUUUCUUGUCGUAUUUGUCAUCAAGGACUAAUAAACAUUCAGCUUGGUGAUGGAACCUAGGCUUUAUAAGGUUCCAUACAACUCGAAAAUUGGAGCUCAGCUUCAAACGAAUCACUAGUGGCAAUCCCAUUCCCGACUCCAGCAAGUCCUGCAUGUUUCUCCCUGCGCCAUACAUCGGUUUACUUCGUGUUCCCACCGAUAGCUGGAACCUUGAUGGACUCGAACUCUGUGCAUAUAGCUUUCGUCCCUGCAAGUCGGAUUCAUAUAUUGAAAACAACAUUUAAACAAAAAGCAAAAGAUAAAAAAAAUUCAAUUGGUGGACUUGAUUACGUACGUGUGAGAUAGCGAAAGGCAGGCGGCCGAAGAAUAAAUCCAUGGUUGGAGGGUGGAUGUGGAGGCCGAAGAGCUUUGAUUUAUUUUCAACGAGCAGGUCCACAGAACAGUUGCAGGUUAGAAUCUUGGUUGUAACACCUGAGCCGUCCACUCCUUCCCCUAGUCCGAAUUCACCUACUCUUGCCACCUGCAUUGCCAAUCCAAGCAUCGUGUGAUAGUCUAUACUUUAUUACACUUUUCUCUUCAUUCUAAUAGACUUCACAAUUUUUUUUUUAUAUCUUUAUAUAGCUUCACUGAGGUGCUCCGAAGUACUGAGAAUUCUCUUUUUCCCUUGAAUUAAUAAUAGGAAAUAUUCAAAUCCACUAUCUAUUGUGAUCCCUACAAGCAACUUGCAAGUUAGGGCCUUAGGAUCCAUCAUUGGGCUUGAUGCUUGGUUCUAGUGGGCAAGGGUUCAUGGUUAAAUACAAACAGUUGAUUUUAGGCCCUUUUGGGAUGAAUUCUAGCAACCCAUCAUCUUCAGGUUCUUUGGAUUUUUUUCUUGGGAAAGAAGGCUCUUGCCUAUUUGAUUUCUUGAAAGCAAAACAAAAAUAACAUAAAAAAUAAAAAUAGUAUGAGAGACAGAAGACUACCUUCUUGCAUAGAAUUGCCUGAAAAUAUGCAUUUUAAAAGAUCAUAUGGCUAUGAAAUGUAAAUUUUCUUGUAAAAUUACUCUUUUAAUGCGAGUUUCCUUUUGGUCUUUACGCUUAAAACAAAUGUUUAAUUGGUAACAGUGUUGUAACUCAUCGUGUCCGGCAGCAACAAGCCAACAACCCAACAUUGGAGUUGGUAUUGGAGCAUUAUAAACUAUGCUCUUGUGGGUACUUGCCUUUAGUUUUGAAGCAAAAAUAGAGGACCAUUGACCAAUAUACAUACCUUAACAGAAAUCUUAGGAGGUGGUGGCUUCGUAGCAAUGUAGAACACAAGCAAUGCAAAUCCUAAGCUCAACACAAGCCUCCAACAUAUUUGUAAAGAAAUCCAGGCACAAGAAUUAGAGCUUCUAAAAGAACAAUACCUCCACCACCACCCUUUUUUCUUCCCAUAAAACCCUUGUCCUUCUUCAUCAUCAUUGUCAUCAUCAUCAUCAUCAUUUUGAUCACCCUUACCGACCCCAUGGUCGAUCAUGAUGAGGCGGUUGAAUCCUCCUUUGUGAUCGGCAGCAGCGACGAUGCUUUUGUCAUGCAAGAAGGAGUUGUUGGAUCCACGAGAGGAAGAGUAACGGGAAAGGGUGAAGCGAGAAACGUCGGGGUUCUUGGUGAGGAUGGCUGAUUCGGAGGGUGUGGGGGAGUGGAAAUGCAGGGUGACGGCGGAUUGGUCUUCGUUGGUGGGGUUGCGGAUAUGAUCGGCACUGUUUGCAUGGGAGAUGGUGGAAGGGCUUUGAACGUAGUAUGCACAUGGAUAGGCGUGGAACAUCAACGCUUCUUGGUCUUCAUGAUGACUGUACGUUUCCAUCCUCUUCAACUAGAGAGAGAAACUAUUACUACUGCACAUGGAAAUCAGAGAGAAACACCCAUAUAUAUUAUUCAUCAGAAUAUGGAGAGAGAAUAACCGGAUUUAUUCAAUUAUGUAUGAUUCUUUUUUAUUUCAUUUUCUUAGAUAUAGAUUUUGUAUUUUAUUUUAUAGCUAGGGAGCCAUGUAGGGCCCCUUUUGCCAAUUUCAAAAAUUUUAAGUUCAUCUCUUAUUCAAAUUGAAUAAAUUAUUUAUACCAAUGAUUUUGUUUCUUUCUUGAUUUUAAUUGAAGCAAUUACGCAAUUUCUUAAAAAUAAAUAAUGAAAUUAAAGGGAUCCUAGAGUCCAAGAUUGGCUUUUGGACUAAUUGCUUUGCACCGAAUUGUCUCCAAAUCUCAAUCAUUUUACAUCCUAGGAAUGAUAACAAAGUAGGCACGCUUUCGCACUGCCUUUCAUUUUUGUUCUUAAUUUAAACUAUCCUGAUUUCCUUUUUCCAUUCAAAAAGAAAAAAAAAAGGUUGACGUAGAAGAAUAUUAUAUUAUAUUUAUGGAGAACAGCAAAACACUAGUGCACACAGCACACUCAUAAUUACAUUGUUAUAAUGAUGAGUGUGUGUGUGUGCGCGCUCAUUAAUUCACACUCCAACCAAACUACUAAUCUACACCGUAUUCCUUCAAAGAUACUAUACUGUAUAUAUACUUUGCUGCUUGUAUCUCAUCAUUCAUAUAAGAGAUUUGGAAUAAAGGAUGAAAAAUGGCUUGCUUUGCAAGGCAUGAUGAAUUGUUAUACAAGCAUAUCCGGGUUUGAAUAUAAAUGGGGUUAUGAUGAAAGAUCAUUAAAGUGAUCCUAGUUAGUGAGAAGAAGAUUAGAAAGUGGGAAUGGGAUCGGAGAGCAGCAUUUGGUUUUAUGAGAUGCCAAAAGCAACAGCGCAUACUCCCCGUCUCACUCUCACUAUCCUUGUACCAUCAUCACCAAGCAGGUGCCCCAAUUCUUUUCAUUAUUAAUUAUUUAUUUAUUAUUUUCUUCAUCAUUUCGCUGCCCUCUCCUGUAAAUAAUUUACCAUUGAUGUGUGUGAAUUUUCCAACACUAACCAACGAAAAAUGGAAACCCUUUGGGUGUUGAAUUUUACCUGCCCAUGAAUCUUAAUAUUAUUCAAGGUAUGCUAUGAUUAUUUUUUUUUUAAAUUUAAUUUAAUUUUUAUAAAUCAUUACCUUUGUUAUCGUGUGACAUCAUUUUAAAUUUAUUUAUUGUAUACGCACAAAAAAGAUUAUAGUUAUCUGACAUAAAAGUAAGUGAAUUUACUUUAUUAAAUAUAUACAAUUAAAUCAAAAUAAAAAUUUAUACAAAUUUCAUCUAUAAAAUUAAAUCAAAAUCAAAUUUACAUGAGUUCAAUGAUAUUAAAUCAAAGUUUAAUUUUGAUAUUUAUCCCUAGUUCAUUCCUAUCCUAAGAAUCCAUGUUCCCAAGUAAGUAACAUUAACCAUAUGUUCCUCCUUUGUUCUUCUUGUUUUUUUUUUCUUUUAAAAGAAUAAAUUAAGCCCUUAUAUUUAUUUUUCACUUAAGUAAGCUCUUGAAUAUUAAAAUUUUAAUCAAUUAAACUCUUUGACCGUUAACUAUUAAAGAAUAAUGGUUUCUUCUUUUAGAUUAUUUUUGCCAUGUACCAUGACAAGAUUGUGCCACAUGGUGAAAACUUCAUAUUUAAAAUCACCAGAAAGUAUAAAAAAAAUUUUAAACUAAAAGCAUUAUAAAAAUUUAUUAAAAAUAUAGAAAAUUAUAAAAUUUAUUAUAAUGAAAAAAAUAUAAAAUAUUAAAAUAAAAAUAAUAUUAAAGUAUUUUUUUAAAAAAGUAUAUAAAUUAUAAAAAUAUAUAAAUGAAAAAAAUGUAAAAGAUUAUGAAAAAUAUUUAAAAUAUAGAUAAUUAUUAAAAAUAAUAAUAAUUAUAAAAUAUUAUAAAAAGCAUAAAAAAUAUAAAACAAAUUAAAAAUAUAUGAAAAAAAUUAUAAAAACCUUUUUUUUUUCAUUUGCACACUAACCAUCAUUAACACUACAUACCAAUUAAAAAUUAUAAAAUAUUUAUCUGAUCUUUGAAGCUAUCUACUAUGAAUCCCCCAAAGCUUGCCUCCCCUUGUCCAUCAUUGAUGACAGAAGAGUGUUUUGAGAUGCAAACUAAAGAAAAAGGAAAA
rnacentral:lncRNA from 1 species